rnacentral:lncRNA from 1 species
UAAUCAAUCCUAGUAAUUAAGAACACGAGGUUUAAAGAGAAAAUUAACCAAUGAGAAUUUGGCUACGUUAUGGCACAGGAGAUAUAGUCAUAUCUCCAGACAGAGAAUAAAGAGACUUGUGUCAAACGAAAUUCUCAACCCCUUAGAUUUCACAGAUUUUGACAUCUGUGUUAACUGUAUCAAGAGGAAACAAAUCAAUAAAAGGAGAUUUGAAAUCAACAGAACUUUGAAUAUCUUAGAACUCAUACAUACGGACAUUUGUGGGCCAUUCGCUGCACCUGCUUGGAAUGAUCAACAAUAUUUUAUAACAUUCAUAGAUGAUUUUUCUAUAUACGAAUACAUAUAUCUCCUCCACGAAAAGUCACAUUCCUUGGAUAUGUUCAAACACUUUAAAGCAGAAGUUGAAAACCAACUUAGAAAAAGAAUUAAAAAUGUCAGAUUUGAAUGUGGCGGUGAGUACUAUGGCAGAUAUGACAGUUUAGGUGAACAAUGUCCAGAACCAUUUGCUAAAUUCCUAGAGGAAUACGGUAUCAUCUCAUAGUAUACUAUGCUGGGUUUGCCUACUAUGAAUGGUCUUACUGAAAGAUGACAUAGGACGCUUAAGGACAUGGUGAGGAGUAUGAUUUGUCAUUCUACCUUAUUAGAAUCACUCUGGGGAGAAGCACUUAAGAUUACAACAUAUAUCCUUAAUAGAGUUCCAACUAAAGCGAAAACCCCUUACAAGCUUUGGAAAGGUAAAAAGCCUAGUCUAAAGCACUUGCAUAUUUGGGGAUGUCUAGCUGAGGCAAGGCCUUAUAGGCCUGAUGAAAAGAAAUUGGACUCAAGUACGGUGAGUUGUUAUUUUAUUGGAUACUCAGAACGAUCCAAGGGGUACAAGUUUUAUGAUCCCAGAAUAUAAUAAGUUCCUCUAUGUAUCUAUUUGCCAUACGAAACCUUUUGGUUCAUUAAAUGGUUUCUAUGUAACCAAUUCUUUUGUUUUUUUCUUUUUCAAAAAGUAUCUAUUAAACCAUUUUCUAAAUCAAAUGAAUCUAUAUGAUUAAUGUUGUAUAAAAAUAAAAUCUUUUCAUGAUCUGGACACUUACGAGUUUUUAAGAAAUUUUUGUCAUAUAUCUUCAAGUGAUGAUAUAUUGUUACAAUUUAACUAUUUUUAUAUUUUUAUAUGAAACGAGCAUGUACCGUAGAACAUAUCUUAAAUAAUUAUAAUGCUUGCAGUCACAACUAUAUGAUACACUUCUACUCACUGAAUCCAAGAUAUCGAUGUCUUAAUCGUUGGGCUAAGACUCAAUCACUGGUGAUAAGAUGAUGCUGGAUAGCUGGAGGUCGCAUCCCUUUCAAGGCCUUUAGUAAUAGAACCCAAUCCUUCACAAUUAUCAUUUAAUAAUAUGUUAAUUACCAAACACUAUUAUUUUUUUAUUCAUACCUAGUAGUGAUUUAAAUUUGAAAAGUGACAAAACCAGAAAUUUUAGUAUAUAAUAAACCAGUUUAUAUUUUUCUAUUUUACGGAGAAAAGUAAGGAUCCAUUAAAAAAAAAACCACCAACAUUAAAAUGAAAGAAUUAGAAACGAAAAUCACAACAACAUUAUAAUUGCAUUUAGUUUCUACGUCUCCUCCCCCUUCUUGUUGCCUUUUGUUGCAUUCCCAACUUCUCCAGAAUCCAUCCGAUAAUUCCUGUGCUGAAGUUGAACCCGAGAACCAAUCCUGCCACAAGUCCGCCCGCAUAGCCAGUCAGAAUGAUUUUCCAAUCAGAUGCGCCUGAAAACAGAGACUCCGCUGAGCCUUCAGUAUUAUCUUCAUUUGUUGGAGCUUCACCACUCUCACAUCCUUUGGACAAAGGUCUUCCACACAAUCCUGAGUUGCCAUCAAAAGAAGUAUUGUCAAAUGUAGCAAAUUGCUUUCCUUGUGGUAUAGGCCCUGUAAGGUAAUUGUCCGAGACAUUGAAGAAUUCGAGAAAUGUGAGCUCAACCAGUUGUUGAGGAAUCCGUCCUGAAAACUUGUUAUUUGAGAGAUCCAGUGAUUCCAAAUUUGUUAGAUUACCCAAACAUGAAGGAAUAUGGCCUUGGAAAUUAUUGUUGUGAAGGUUUAGGACUUGAAGUCCCUUUAAAUUCGAAAUUGAUGCUGGAAUCGCCCCAUCAAAUCUAUUGUUUGAGAGAAUAAUGCCCGUGAGGAUAUCCGGAAUCUUGUUAUACGUCAUCAUUCGCCCUUUACUGUUCAUGGUCAUUGAGUAGUCAUAAGUGCCAAGUACAUUACUGGACACUUGUCCAUACGGAAAAAGCACAUCUUGCAGAUAUCGUAGCUCACUUGUAUUGAAAAUUUUCAUGGCAUUCCAACACAGGAAACUCUUUGAUGGAAGCUUUCCAGUAAAUCUGUUGUUAGAUAGGUCAAUAAUGCGGAGUUUAGAAAAUCCACAACCAGUUCUGGGUUCUUCUAUAAUGCCAUAAAAUAUGUUCGAUCGUAGGAUAAGAACAUUCAAGUUUGGAAGAGUUCCUAACCAAGAGGGAAAAGUGUCACUAAUCUGGUUGUUCCCAAGACCAAGAAAUUCCAACUUUGAACAGUUGAUCAAUGAUCUUGGAAUUCUUCCCUGGAGCAGAUUAUGGCUUAAAUCAAUCACACCUAAUCUACUUUCUUUAAUGAAAGUAUUCGGGAUAGUCCCAAAGAAGUUGUUCCCCUGCAAGUCGAGCACCGAAAGUUCAUCACUGAAAUUGCCUAAACAUUGAGGAAGCAAGCCACUUAAGUUAUUGUGAGACAAAACAAGGCUUUCAAGAAUAUUCAAAUUGCAUAUCCACGAUGGAAUUUCCCCUCUUAAGCUAUUGCUUGACGCUAGAUAGUUAAUGGUUCCGAGGGGUGGAAUGGGGAGUGGUCCUUGUAAAUUAUUAGAGCUAAGAUCAAAAGUUACCAAAUCACCUUUACUCCCUGGAAGAACAACAUGAUGCUGAUCAAACCUGGUUAACAAGUUAUGCGAAAGGUUCAAGGUAUUGAGAUUCUGCAUAUUGGGGUCUAACAACCAUUUAGGUACUUUUCCCUGAAUUCUAUUGUCAGAAAGGUCCAGGACCACCAAAUGAUGUUGGUUUUCCAAGAAAUUUGGAAAUUUAGUAAGAUUGCAUGAACGCAAUCCUAUAUAUUGAUGUUUCCGUGAAGUGGUAUUGGAAGUGGUUUUGGUGAGCACUGACAACCUAUUUAAUGAGAGAACUAAAACUUCUAAAUUUUUCCAGCAAGUAAGUAAAACAUCUAACUCUAUUGUUCCGCUAUAAGAAUUUCGAGCCAUGUCAAGGACGAUAAGUUGGGUAAGAUUCCUAAGUGAAGAUGUAAUUUGACCUGAAAAAUUACAAUUUGAGAUUUGUAUUACUUCCAAUGACCUAAGAUUUCCAAUGGAACCAAGUAAGUCACCCGAAAAAUUAUUAAAUCCAAGAUACAAAAAUUGUAGCCGGGUGAAAUUGCCAAUCGAAUGUGGAACUUUGCCCCAAAAAUCACAUGACCUCAGAUCUAAUAGCUUCAAAGAACUGAAAUUUCCAGUCGACCAUGGAAACUCACCGGAUAAUUUAUUGACUGAAAGGUCAAGUUUUUCCAAAGAAAAAAGAUUUCGAAUGGAAGUAGGCAACUCACCAAAAAAUCCAUUUUGUGAAAGGUCAAGUUCUUUCAAAGAACCAAGAUUUCCCAUGGAAAUAGGCAACUCACCAAAAAAUCUAUUUUGUGAAAGGUCAAGUUCUUUCAAAGAACUAAGAUUUCCAAUGGAAAUAGGCCACUCACUCAACAAAAAAUUUGCAGAGAGAUCCAGUUCUUCCAAUGAACGAAGAUUACUAACGGAAACUGGCAGCUCACCCUGUAAUUCAUUUAGUGAAAGGUCUAAAUGAAGGAGCUUGGAUAGAUUACCGAGUGAUGUUGGAAUUCUUCCUGAAAUUUGUAUAUGUAUAAAAAAAAAGAACACAUUGCUUAAGUAGAAAAUUAAAAAUAAUAGUAGUUUUUACUAAUGAAUUUAACAUUGCAAUUGGCAAUUUUCGAAUAAAAUAUAUGUAUUCAACAAUAACAUGCAUGUAUAUUAAUUAAGGAGAAAUUAUAUAAAAUUUAAUUACCUUGCAAUUCACAGUUUCGAAGAGAAACAAACGUCAAAGAAGAUAGAUUUUCGAUGUUAUGAGGUAUCGUUGACUGAAUACAAACAUCACCAAGGUCAAGUGUUUUUAGAUUGCUUAACUUCUCUACUAAAUUUACGAAACUGGGCUUCUGGAGUUCGAGUCUACCACCAGGAACAUCAUUUAGUGAUAAAUCAAGGGACACCAAGUUGGAGAGCUUUAGAAUUUCUGAUGGUAUUUGGCCAGAUAAAGAAGUUCCAGAGAGGUUCAAGUAUGAUAACUUCGAAAGGUUGAUGAUUUCUGGUGGGAUUUCGGAGGAAUUAAAGUCAUUCAAAGCAAGAUUAAGCCACUCGAGAUGGACAAGCUUGAAAAGGCUGCUGCUAGAGUUGAUAGAACCAAAAAGGCAGCUAUGGGAGAGGUCAAGCUUGACGACAUGACCAGUGUUCUUAUUGCAAUGAACGCCGUCCCAAGAGCAGCAAUCAAAGUUACCUUCUUCUGGCUUCCAUGAUGCCAUUGUAGGAUGACAGUCAAAUUUCCAAGCAUAAAAAUCACUACUGAUGCGGCUUUCUUUGAAUUGUAACAAAGCAGAGCGCUCAUCAUCAUGGCAGAGUGGCAGCAUAGAAGAAGCAGUGAAGUUAGCAAAUCUAAAAUUAAAGAAAAAGAACGGAAAAACUAAACGUAUGAUUAUUGUGAAUAAACAUAUGGAGGAUAAACCCAUAGUUUUCUCAAAAAUAAAAUUUAUUUAACUUUGUAGAUGUGAAGAAAUUUAAGGUUCUUGGUUUUCUUUUAUAGACAAAUUGCAGCAAUUCAAACAUUAUAGUCAUUGGACUCUUUUUAUUUUUUUUAAGUCAACAAAAGUUAUUCUUAAUAAUUUGAUGUGAUGUCGUAAACGUUUACCAUUCCGUCACCACUGAAAACACAAACACAAGCCAAAUUAAUGAAUUUGGAUUUACUAAAAUUGACGUGAUUUUCAGUUUAGAUCAAUUAAAAACCUUUCAUUUAAAUUAUAGUCAACAGACGAUUAACUUCUGAAGAGGCAACGUCCCACCAAAAAAAAAAAAUUGAUUUAAUGUUUUAUUAAUAAUCUAUCCAAAAAAAAAAAUUCUUCAAUAGGAUAUAUCGAACUUGACCGGUGUUUAUAUUUCCUUUCAUUUUCUAUAAUUUGUCAUAUAGUGGGCCAAUGAAUUAAUUUUCGUCUUUUUUUUUUCUCCUUUCCCCACUUGAAUUUCCCUUCACGGCAAGUUGAGUAUUUGCAUACUUUAGGGUAUGUCAUUGUCUUGAUGACUUUUCACUACAACCCUAAAAUUUUCCUCCCCGCGGCAUGUUGAAUUUUCUUUGUAGACCACACACUCGUUGGUUGAGUGAUGACACCUCCUCAACUUAAUUAUUCUCAAGGUGAAGUAUUCGAGUUUUACUCCUUUAGAUUUCUUAGCUGAGCUUUCGCUGAUGGUUUCUGAGAUGGGCUCUAAUGUAACAAAUAUCUCACGCUAACAACCCAAAAUUCCAUAAUUUCAUGCAAAAUCAUUCUAGAAGUUAAAAUUAGGUGUCAAGUCGCAAGAGAACAUUGUUGCGGAAACGCGGGUUGAGCAAUUACUAAUACUGCGACUUCUGGAGAAAUAUAAAUGCGGUGAUAAACAAAUGCAAAGAAAAUAAGACACAAUAAUUUAUGUGGUUCGGUGUAAUGCUUACGUCUACGGGCAAAAACUGGAAAAUAAUUUUACUAAUAAUGAGAAUUUACAACAAUGGGAAAAACUCACAAAACCCACAACCCCAAUACACCCAAAUGGAACCUCACUAGAACACUCAAGUGGAAGCUCUCUCAAAUUCUCUCAAAGAACUCACUUGCAAUUGCUCUCUACUUCUCUCAAAUUGGGAUGCUCUCUCAAAUGAGGAAUUGCCUUCUAUUUAUAGAGAAAAAUGGGGUGCACUAUUGCACCAACCCCAACAAAAUUGUCAAUAAAAAUUAGGCACCUACCUUAGGAAUUUGUCUUCAAAUUUGCCUCUCCAAAGUUGAAUGCAUACAUGUGUAUGCAAGUUGGUCAAAUGAUGUAUUAGUCAAAUUUGAAUGCAUUGUUGUGCGCGGAAUGCGGAAUCAAGCGUACUAAAUAAUUAUAGAAAAAUAAAUGACACAAGAAUUACGUGGUUCGGUAAUUAAACCUACAUCCACGGAGGCAAGAAAGAAUAAUUGUUUAUUUAACAAUUAAUAGAGUACAAAUAUUUGAGUAACAAAUCUCACUUCCCAGAAACCCAAAUAUACCCAGUAUUCUCACACUCUGCAGGAAAGAUAAAUUCCCCAGACACACUUCUCUCACUUCUCUCAAAAGCUUAGAAACUUAUAAGCUUAACAAUUUUGGGAUAAUUUAGAAUGAAGAAAUGGCUUCAAUUUAUAGGCUUCAAGCUUGCACUAUUCCACCUAAUCCCUCUGCAAUUUGUCAAUCUUCAUCUCUGUCAAUUUGAAAAAUUUUGCUAACUUUUCCAUUUUUCUUCAUUUGGUGCAGGAUUGUCAAAUGCCAAAUAUUUUACAGCUUGCAAUUUGGUGUCGACUUUGAAAAACAAAAGCAAUGCAUGUGGCUCACUUUUCUUUUUCAACCAAAACUCUUUGACUUUUCAACAAUUUUCCACCUCGGCAAAGAUUUGUCCAAAUUUGAGCCGACUACCAACUAAUCAUCAUCCCCAAAGUGGCUGCAUCUCUGUGACUGCCUACGUACCCAAAAUUUGGGAUCAAGCCAACCGUAGUUCAAAAUUCCCGAAGGACAUAACUUAACACAAUCGAAGGAUUUGAAUUAGUUUCAAGCAAUGUUGAAACUUAACUCCAGAAACUACCUUCGUCAACAUAUCUGAUGGAUUAUCUUUUGUAUCGAUCUUCUUCAACAACACAUCACCACCUUCGAUAAUCUCCCUCACAUAAUGAUAUUCCACAUCUAUGUGCUUCGUCCGAGCGUGAUAUGUUUGAUUCUUCGCAAGGAAUAUUGCACUUUGAUUAUCACAGAAGACCGCAAUGUUCUCCUGGAUUACUCCCAAAUCACCUAACAAACCUUUCAACCAGAUAGCUUCUUUUACAGCUUCAGUUGCUGCCAUAUACUCUGCCUCCGUAGUGGACAGAGCAAUUGUCGAUUGCAAAAUCGACCUCCAGCUAACCGGACCUCCACCCAAUGUGAAUACGUAGCCCGUUGUUGAUCUUCGCUUGUCAAGGUCUCCAGCGAAAUCAGAAUCACAAUACCCAACACAUUGUUAACCACAAUCCUUCUUGAACAAUAACCCAACAUCAACUGUCCCAUACAAAUAUCGGAGAAUCCACUUUACCGCAAGCCAUUGAUUUUUACCCGGAUUAUGCAUGUAUCUACUAACCAUGCUCACUGCUUGAGAUAUAUCGGACCUUGUGCAUACCAUAGCAUACAUAAGACUACCCACAUCACUAGCAUAUGGAACACGAGCCAUGUAAUCGCGCUCCUCUUGAGAUCUAGGAUAUGAAGAAGAGCUUAAUUUGAAAUGAGGAGUGUUGAGUGUUAGAAAAUGUAUAUUUAUAAAAGAGAAAAUCAUCAUUUUACACUACAAGUUUUACUAACACCUUUACUUUUAUGAAUUUAACCUUCUUUUGAUUUAAUUCUGUGUGUUUUAUUUUAAUUAAGUAUUUUAUGUAUUUUAGGGGCAUUAUAGUCAUUUCACAAUAAAGGAGAGAUCAGACAGAAAAACAGACAUCACUUUUGAACUCAGGACGGUCGAAAACCUUAGGAGGAGCAUAAAAGGAAAAAUAGCACUAUUCACAUGUACGGUACUGUAUACGUUACUGUUCACGACACUGUUCACAUAGACGGACGAUGACGUGGCAUUGACCAAUGAUGUGACAUUUACUGAUGAGGUGUCACGAUCCUAUUGGGCUAAAAUUCUUAUGUACUGUUGAUGGUGACGUGGCAGCAUAUCAGUGGGCAAAAAAUCUCGCGUACGGUACAUGCAUCACACAGGAUUAUUGUCAACCAAACUGUGUUACUGUUCAUCCGGGUCAAACCGUGUUACUGUUCAUCCGCGUGGUCAAACCGCGUACUGUUGACUGAUGACGUGGGGCAAUCCUGAGCGUCCAAACUGUUUUUAAUCCGAUGGCCAUGAUUUACUCCAUGUAUCUAUAAAAAAGGGGCCUCUCCCCCCUAAUUUGAUAUCUCUGAAUCCAUUUUUGGGAUCCAUUUUCUGUAAUUCCUUCUCCAUCUUGUAUUUUCUUCAUAUUUUAAUAAAUUUCCAUUUUGCCCCUAGUUCAAUUAUGAGUAGCUAAUUUCCUUUCAAGCUUGGGUUGAAGGUGAAGUCUCAACAUGUGUCAUGGGCUUUAUUUAGUAAAUUUAUUUUCUUUUCCCCUCUAAUAUUUGUGGAUGAUUUGACUUUUCGUCGACAAAUAAUAAUAGUCUUGUCUAGAUACCGCCUUGGUUACACCGGCUCUAUAGUACAAGGUUAUUAUUAUUUGGCACGAUAAGCCCUUAGCACCAUAUUGAUUAGAGUGUGGUUCAUGAGGUGUGGAUUCCCCCCUCAUGAUUUAAUUGGCAUUAAUACGGAUUAUUUAGCCCAUGAUGCAUGUUGAUACGGAUCCAGAUACCCAAGUACGUCAUUUCAAUAGAAUUCUCUUCAAUUUAUUCUCGCCAUUUCAAUUCCAAUUUCAGAAUUUAUUCUCGCCAUUUUAAUUUAAGUUUUAGCAUAUUCCAAAUCAUUUCCACCACAAAUCCAAUCCCCCAUUUACAAAAUUAAUUCUACAAACAAUUAAAAUCCACCUCCUCGUGGGAUCGACACUCGUCACCAUUGAUCUAUACUAUAAUAGAUUGGUGCACUUGCGAGUUCAAUAAAAUUUGCACAACAAGUUUUUGGCGCCGUUGCCGGGGAGGUAAGUAAUUUUAAUUCAUAGAAUUAAUUUUUGUGAAUAAUUUCUUUUAUUUGUUUUCUUGUAUUUUUUUUUCUUAUUAAAAAAGAAAAAAAGAAAAAAAAAGUGAAUCUACAUUUAAAGGUUAGUAUUUCUUUUCUUUUUCUCUUCUUUAAAAUUCUGUAAUUUAAUUUUCAAUUUAUUUUUUCUUUGUAAUUUUUGUUUAUUUUAUUAAUUUAAUUUUUAGUUAAUUUAUUUCACGUAUUUUUUUGUGUGUAUUUUUAUAGAAAGGUUGUAAUAGUGCAAUAAGGUUAAUAUCGUAAUUUCUCCCUCUUCUUUAUUUUUAUUUAUUUUGUUCCCAUCUUUAUUUUUAUUUUAUUUGUUUUGCAUGCAUGGUCGUAGGUCAUUAUUACCUAAUCUUGAACCUAUAGACCUUGAAUUAGAAAAAACACUUUGCACACACAAGCACAUUAAAAAUAAAAUGGAUUUACAAGCACCACAGGAGAGGCCAUUUAAGGACUAUUUCAGUCCCUUAGCUAAUUUGAGCACAUCAUGCAUAAGAUACCCAAAUGUAGCUGCUAGGAGUUUUGAAUUAAAACCUAGUGUGCUAAAUUGUCUCCCUACAUUAUAUGGCUUAGAAAAUGAGGAUCCAUACAAUCAUCUGAAUGAUUUUCAUGCUAUUUGUCAAACUUUUAAAUACGAGAAUUUUUCAGAUGAUGAUGUUAAACUUAGACUAUUCCCAUUUUCUUUAAAGGAUAGAGCUCGUUUAUGGCUUAAUACAUUGCCUGCCAAUAGCAUUUCAUCAUGGGAACAAAUGGUAACGAAAUUUUUGAAUAAAUAUUUUACAGUGCAUAAAACCAAUGCUAUUCGCAGGGAAAUCUCGGAGUUUACCCAAAGAGAGGACGAGCAAUUUUUCGAAACAUGGGAGCGAUUCAAUGGGCUACUCUUGAAGUGUCCACAUCAUGGGUACAAAAAAUGGCACCAAUGCCAAUACUUUUUGGAGGGAUUAUUGCCGAAUGUGCAAGAAUGGCUAAUGGCAACAAGUGGAGGAGAGCUAAUGUCAAAAAGUGCAUCAGAGAUUUGGGAAUUCUUCCAGCGACAAGCGGAUAAUUCCCAACAACGGAGUCGAUCACUCAGGAAUACUAGAAGAAUUAAGGGAGUAAAUGAGGUUCACAUUGGCGAGUCAAGUUCGGAAAUCAAAGAAGUCAAGGAGAUAAUUGAAGGUCUCUCUCGACAAAUAGCAUCGUUAUCGACUGCUAAAUCAACAGAACCACAUGACCAUGACUCAUACUCAGAUCAAGCCAAUGCCAUAGGUGUAAUGAGAAAGCCAUCAAAUUACAACCCAUACUCCAACACAUAUAACCCUGGAUGGAGAGACCACCCCAAUUUUUCAUGGUCUCAAGGAUUCCAACAGAAUGGACCAGCAGCUCCAGCUCCACCAAUGCAACCAAUUCCUCAAAUUCCUCAAGCCUCUUAGCCCCCAUUUAGACCAUUCAAUCAGAACCAAAACUACUCUCAACCCAGACCAUGGGAGGAUGCAUUCUAGAAUUUCAAGAAUGUUACUCACUCCACGAUUGAGCAACAGAACCGCACCAUUGAUGGACUACGAAAUGAGUUGAGAGCAGGCUUCAACUCACAAGCUCAAUCAGUUUCAAGCCUCAAGAAGAUGGUGGGACAACUUGCUUCUUCAGUUCAGACCUUGGCAAUGACUGUUGAGAAAGGCAAGUUUCCAAGUCAACCAGUGCCUAAUCCUAAAGGAGUACAUGAAGCAAGUACUAGUUCACCACAGCAGCAUGGAGAGGUCAAAGCAGUCAUGACCUUGCGAAAAGGAAAAGAAGUCGACAACAAAGUGGAGAUGCCGGUAACAAAAGAAAAUCAAAUUGUACCUGUGAAUGUUGAGGACUCACCAUCGGAGGAGAAAGAAGAAACCAACCCACGAGAAUAUGUUCCUAAAGCUCCAUUUCCUCAGAGGUUAGCUAAAGGAAAGAAGGGAAAAUCUACAGGUGAGAUUCUCGAAAUCUUCAAAUAGGUAAGUGUUAACAUCCCUUUACUUGAUGCUAUUAAACAAGUUCCAUCUUAUGCCAAGUUUCUUAAAGACCUUUGUACUAAAAAGAGAAAUACGCAUGUUCAAAAGAAGGCAUUUUUAACAGAAAAUGUUAGUUCUAUCCUCCAACAUAAAAUUCCUCUAAAGUACAAAGACCCAGGCUCCCCCACUAUCUCAUGUAGUAUAGGGAACCACACAAUUGAGAAUGCUUUGUUGGAUUUAGGAGCUAGUGUAAAUUUGUUGCCUUAUUCAGUAUUCGUGAAACUUGGACUGGGAGAAUUACCCCCAACUCCAGUGGUGUUACAGCUUGCAGAUCGGUCCACGAAAAUACCUCGUGGUAUUGUGGAGGACGUGCUUAUCCAGGUAGACAAGUUUUAUUUUCCUGUUGAUUUCAUUGUAAUUGACACUCAACCAAUACAGGAUUCAAGGAAGCACAUCCCCAUUAUUCUAGGCCGACCUUUCUUGGCAACAGCGGAUGCUCACAUUCAAUGCAGGACUGGAAAUAUGCAGUUGUCCUUUGGCAACAUGACUAUGGAGCUAAAUAUUUUCAACAUUGCCAAACAACCUCAUAAUGCAGAUGAUGGAAUUGUUGAUGUGGAUUUAAUAGAAACAAUAGUUGAUGGCACUUUUGUUUCAAACCUUAGUGAUGAUCCUUUACAAACAUGUUUAACUCACUUUGGUUUGGAUUUUGAUAUUGACAGAUCGGUCGAUGAGGUCAACGCCCUGCUUGACCCAGCACCAUACAUGGACACUAAUAAAUGGAAGUCAAGAGUUGAACAACUAGCACCAUCAGAGAAGAAACUCAUCCCAUCAUCAGAAUCACCACCGAAACUCGAGCUCAAACCAUUGCCCAACACAUUGGAAUAUGCAUUUUUAGGAGAAGAAAGCACUCUACCGGUAAUCAUCUCAUCAUCCCUAAAUGACGAACAAAAAGGUAAGUUGUUGGAUGUUUUAAAAGAGCACAAAGGAGCAUUAGGAUGGACCAUAGCAGACAUAAAAUGUAUAAACCCACUAGACUGCAUGCAUUACAUUCACCUUGAUGAAAAUGCUAAAUCUACUAGGGAAAUGCAACGUCGGUUAAAUCCUAAUAUGAAAGAAGUUGUUAGAACUGAAGUCCUUAAGCUAUUAGACGCAGGUAUCAUUUACCCAAUUUCUGAUAGUUCAUGGGUCAGUCUUGUACAAGUUGUCCCCAAAAAGUCAGGAGUCACAGUAGUUACGAAUGCUGAUAAUGAAUUGAUACCCACUAGAGUGACUACAGGAUGGCGUGUAUGCAUUGAUUAUAGAAAGUUGAAUUCUGUCACACGUAAAGACCAUUUUCCUUUACCAUUUAUUUGAUAAAAUGCUUGAUAGAUUAGCAGGCCAUGAAUUUUAUUGCUUUCUAGAUGGCUACUCAGGAUAUAAUCAGAUUCCCAUAGCACCAAAAGAUCAAGAGAAAACUACUUUCACUUGCCCUUUUGGCACAUUUGCAUAUAGGAGAAUGCCAUUUGGAUUAUGUAAUGCACCUGCUACAUUUCAACGAUGCAUGUUAAGCAUUUUUUUCUGAUAUGGUUGAACGAUUCCUUGAAGUCUUUAUGGAUGAUUUUUUUGUUUUUGGUAACUCGUUUGAUCAAUGUUUACAUCAUCUAACGCUAGUUCUGCAGAGAUGUACCGAGAAGAACUUAGUCUUGAAUUGGGAGAAGUGUCAUUUUAUGGUAAAACAAAGUAUGGUUCUCAGUCACAUCAUUUCGAGCAAAGGUAUUGAGGUUGACAAAGCCAAGGUGGAUCUCAUUUCUAAUCUUCCUCCACCUAAAACAGUCAGAGAAGUAAGAUCUUUCCUUGGGCAUGCUGGUUUCUAUAGACGUUUCAUUAAAGAUUUUAGCAAAGUUUCUAGACCCUUAUGUAAUUUACUUGCUAAGGAUGUACCUUUUAUCUUUAAUGAUUCAUGUCUUGUGGCAUUUGAAAAACUAAAGCAGUUGUUGACAUCAUCACCCAUCAUUCAGGCCCCAAACUGGAGCUUACCAUUUGAGCUAAUGUGUGAUGCAUCUGAUUAUGCAGUAGGAGCAGUUUUAGGACAAAGAGUUGAUCGAAUUCCCCAUGUUAUUUAUUAUGCUAGUAUGACAUUAAAUGAUGCACAGUUGAACUAUUCAACUACUGAAAAAGAAAUGCUAGCAGUAGUGUUUGCAUUGGAAAAAUUUCGAUCUUAUCUCAUUGGUUGUAAAAUAAUUAUAUUCACAGAUCAUGCUGCUCUUAAAUAUCUUCUCACAAAGAAAGAUGCAAAAGCUAGACUAAUUCGUUGGGUGUUACUUUUGCAGGAAUUUGACUUGGAAUUCAAAGAUAAGAAAGGGACAGAAAAUGUUGUGGCGGACCACCUCUCUCGUCUCCAUUUUGACACAAUUACAGAGCCAUUACCAUUAAAUGAGUCAUUCCCAGAUGAACAAUUGAUGAAUGUGGAAGUAUUACCUUGGUAUGCUGAUAUAGUUAAUUAUCUUGUUACAGGUAAACUUCCAGAGCAUUGGACCAAGCAAGACAAGGCUAAAUUCUUUGCAGAAAUAAAGAAUUUCUUUUGGGAUGACCCGUAUUUGUUCAAGUAUAGUGCAGACCAAAUUGUUAGACGAUGUGUCCCAGAAAAUGAAAUUCAGAAUAUUCUUUCAUUCUGCCAUGAACAAGCUUGUGGAGGCCAUUUCAGUGCUAAGAAAACGGCAACUAAAGUUUUACAAUGUGGUUUUUAUUGGCCAACUAUAUUUCGAGACGCUUACACUUUCUGUUCUUCAUGUGAUAGGUGUCAACGAAUGGGGACCAUUACGCGAAGGAACAUGAUGCCACUAAAUCCAAUUUUAGUGGUUGAGAUUUUUGACGUAUGGGGUAUCGACUUUAUGGGACCCUUUCCCCCUUCUUUUGGCCAUCAAUACAUAUUGGUUGGUGUUGACUACGUAUCGAAAUGGGUAGAAGCAAUUCCAUGUAGAACCAAUGAUCACAAGGUGGUGAUAGGAUUUUUGAAAAGCAACAUUGUUUCACGCUUUGGAUUCCCUCGAGCGAUAAUCAGUGAUGGUGGUGCCCACUUUUGUAACAAAGUAUUCAAAGCUCUUUUGACAAAGUAUUCAAUCACACACAAAGUGGCGACCCCGUAUCAUCCGCAAACCAGUGGCCAAGUUGAGAUCUCCAAUCGAGAAAUCAAGCACAUAUUAGAAAAAACGGUGAGGCCAGAUAGAAAAGAUUGGUCAUUAAGACUUGAUGAUGCAUUAUGGGCAUAUAGAACGGCUUUCAAGACCUCGAUUGGGAUGUCACCCUAUAGGCUAGUGUAUGGAAAACCUUGCCACCUACCUGUGGAACUCGAGCAUCGUGCGUAUUGGGCCAUCAAGAAAUUCAACUUUGACAUGCAGCAAGCCAGCUCAGAAAGAAGAUUACAACUGGCAGAACUUGAAGAAAUUCGCAAUGAUGCAUACGAAAAUGCCAAAAUUUACAAGCAACGAAUUAAAGUCUUUCAUGACAAGCACAUUAUGAGAAAAUCGUUCACUCCAGGUUAGAAAGUGCUUUUAUUCAAUUCUCGUUUGCACCUAUUCCCAGGUAAAUUACGCUCUCGAUGGUCUGGUCCCUUUAUUGUUCAUACUGUUUUUCCACAUGGGGCAAUUGAAAUUAAGGACCCAAAGAACGGUGUCACGUUUAAAGUUAAUGGUCAAAGAUUAAAGCCAUAUCUAGAGUACCAACCACAUGGAGAAGACACCGAAAUAAAUUUGAGUGACCCACCAGAUUUGAAUUGAUUUUUUUUCGGUGAUUUGAUUUUUUUUUCUUUCUUUAUAUUAUUCUUUUGCUAAUUGAAAUUAUUUUUGCAUAAGUGUGUUUGUUUUACCAUUAAGUUUUUUCUUAUCAUUGUUAAUCAUGAGUACCUUACUUAGACCGUUCCUCCUGAACAUUCUUAAACCACUUCAACGUGUCAAAACUCAUCUCAAAAGGCAGAUUCAAUUUUGUAAAACACAUCGCAUUUGGGCUCUACAACCACUAGAGUUAGUAGCCUAUGUUGAGGGUUUAGAAAGCCAACUCAGAGAUAUUGAGAGAAGUGUUUACGACAUCCAGUUGGAGCUUGAGGUAAAUUCAAUAAGAGGACGAUUUUAAUUUUCUUUGUGUGUUUUAAUUUGUUUUUCUGUUUGUGUGCUUUAGUUUGUUACCCCGGUGAAGUGGCGGAUAACGGUACUCCGUGACAAUCAAGUCGGUUACUUCAGUUUCUCAUAAUAACUGAUAUUCUGAGGCGAAGGUAUGGAUAGAAACGAGAUUCUAGCAAAGCUUCACAAGCGAUUCCCUUCACUUCCUCAGAAUGCCCUCCUUACAAUCUAUAAUGCCCUAGUCUGAACGCAUGCGAUUGCUCAUGAGGAAUAACAUACCUGCAGACAUCCGUUGGUUAAUCGAGGCUAAAGUACGAUUGGCAGGUGAGUUACCUCCUAAAUUUAUUGCAUACAUGCCUGGUUGUGGUAAAGGAAAUUAUGCACGCAAACGACGAGCUCAAAGAAUUUUUGUUGCUUGUCAUAAGUGUGCCAGAAUGAGAUGCGGUAAAAACCCAUGUUCUUUAGGAAUUGUGUCUGAUAACAGGGAAGAUAAGAUUCAAUUCAUUAGGGAUGGCUUGAAUAAGGAGUCAUUGGAUGACAUUCUUUUGUCUCUUGAAACGCAUCCCAGUGGAUAUGUGCAAGGAGCGAUUCUCCAGUUAUGGCCAUUAUUCCAGAAAGAGCAUGCACGAUAUAGUCUUGGGAAUCUGACUAUAAACGACCCUGUUUGCCAGUUUAUAAGAAAACUGGAUGGGAAGCCCAUCCUCGACCCAUAGAGGGCGUUCAAGCCGUUUCUGGACGUAAAACCAGAGGAAGAUGUGAGCCACAGUCGCAACUACUUGUACAUAUCAUUUUUACUUUACUGUUAUUUUAUUUCAUUUCACUGUUGUUUUAUUGUUUGCAUUAUUGUCUUUAAUAAUUUUAUUACUGUUCGCUUUUUCCUUUUUACUGUUUCCUUUUUGACUCUCGAGCCAUGUGCUUCACGCGUUAUUUGACACUGACAUGUUACCUCAUUCACAGCUGUGACCCACUAUCACCAAGACUCUUAAAUGUGAUUUCUUUUGUCAAACACUCACAAAUUGUUUUUGAGAAAUAUUCCAAUGGCAGCUACUCCCAAUAGACAAUUCAAGAACAUUUGUGUGCUUUCUGGAUUUACCUAUGGCAAACAUAAAGAGUUCGUUGAGGCAGCCAUAGAUAUUGGUCGAAGUAUAGCAGUGAGAAAUUUACAUUUGGUGUAUGGAGGAGGUAACCGAGGGUUAUCAAAAAUGGUCUCAGAAUCAGCUUUUAUCAGAGGAAGUCAAGUGUUAGGCAUCAUCCCAAGAGUCCUAAAACCAUUGGGCAGUUCGUCUGACUCAUCAACUGGAGAAGAGUUAGUCGUCUCAGGUAUGCAAGAAAGAAUAACUGAAAUGCUUAAUCAUGCUGAUGCUUUUAUUUUCCUUCCAGGAGAUCUUGCAACACUAGAGGCACUUAUCACACUAGCAUCUUGGGCCCAUCUGCACAUCCACCAGAAACCCAUCGGUUUGUUAAAUGUCAAUAACUUUUAUGAUGGCUUUAUCGCAUUUCUUAACCAUGCAAUAAAAAACUAUUUCAUUCCUUCUAAUGUGAAAAAACUUUUUAUUUGUGCUCACACUGCUAAUGAGCUACUUGAUAUGUUACAAGCUUAUAAACCGGAGCCAGACCCCUGGACCUUUGUGUUAGAGCGACCAAAUAAUGAUGGUAACAGUAGCCGCAGUAAGAAGUACAAAUUAGAUUUAACUCUCCGCCUGUAAAUAUUUUCUUCUGUGUUGCACCACCCAGGUGAUGUCUUCUAAACUCUACUUCUUUCCUUCAAAACAUUGAGGCCAAUGUUUCGUUCUGGUUGGGGGGAGGGAAUAGUCGACAAUUAUGGAAUCUUGGUUAAGUUUUUACUGAUUUUUUGUUGUAGAAACUAACUGUUGCUAACGUUUUGUGUUGAAGAUGGCUGAAUAUGGAGUGUAGUUACUCUAGAAACGCAUCUUCAUCGUUUAAAAAAAAAUAAAAAAAAAACCGUUUUCUUCCUCUUUCUCCUUUAUAAAUAUAUAUUUUCAAAUUUUUGUGUCGAAGAUGGCUGAAUAUGGAGUGUAGUGCCUCUAGAAACGCAUCUUCUUAGUUAAAAAAAAAAUUAUUUUUCUAAUUAAUUUUUCUACAUCAUUUUCACAUUUCUGCAUGCAUAUUUUCCUUUCAUGUUUAGAAUAGGUUGGGGGGUAGAAUGUUGUUUAAAAAUAUAUAUAUAUAUUUGUGUGAUUUGUUUUAACAUUGGAUGACAUGAUUAAUUUCAAAUUUUAGUAUUUGUAUUAUCUUUGGUCUUAAGUGAUGUUACAUUAUGUUUGCUACUCUACAUGUUGAUGUCGGAGACAAAUAUGAGUUGCUUGAAGGAAUGAACAUGUCAUAAUAAGUACCAAGUGAGUUUUUUAGCCUAUUAUUUUUCUUGGAGAGUAACCCUUUUGCCCAUUCUUUAUACAGCUUAGCAGUUUAUUAUUUUAUACACGAUCUCUAGAUUUCUUUUAAGUUAACCCUUAAAAAAAAAUUGUAAAAAAAAAAAAAAUGUGUGUUGCUACAUUUGUAGGCCCAUCUAACUAAUAGAUAUGGAUGAUUAUUUAGAGCCCUAAAAGACGAUGGAAAUGUCAUCUUUGAUCCGUUUGAGCCUUUCUAGCCAUCCAUUUUAUUAAAUAUCCAUAGUUAACCCUUUUGAGCCUUUAAAAAAAAAAAAACUUUUUCUUUGUCAACUUAUCCUCUUGACCCACUCCGAUUUGGAGUAUUACCCGAUGUCUUAUAAGUUCCAUCACCUAUUUAUGUUUGAGAAAAUGUAAAUAAUUAUGUUGUUCAGUGAAGUUAUGCCAAAUAAAAGCAAAAACAAAAAAAAAAAACAAAAGUUUUUGUUUCAAAAGAAUAAAAAUAACAAUAAUAGGUGAAAUCCACCUUGCAACUUCCAAAAAAAAAAAAAAUUUCUCUGCAUUUUUCUCAAACAUACAUUUUGUUUUCCUUAUUUCCUUUCUUUGUUAGCCAUAUCCCUAGCCUACGUUACGUCCUAAUAAAAGUCCUUCUUGAUUUUAGGGAACUAUAGUUUGAAGUAGAAGCUAGUUAUAUGGGCUAAAAAGAUGUAGUGGUGCAUAUAAAAAAAUAAAAAAAUAAAUUGGGUUGACUAACAUUUUUUAUUUGAGAUCGUAUUAUUUCUAAGCUGAGGGCAUAUUUAUUUCAUCUUGGUGAGAGCAUGUGAUAUCACUUCUUCAUUAUUUUCUCUCAAUUACCAUUCAUUGGAGUGACUAUUUUUUGGGUUUAAUUUCUUUGUGAGAGUGUCACUACUUCCAGUGAGAUUUUGGGGUUUGACAUGUCAUUCGUGAAAGUAGCUAUAACAAAGUCUACUGAGCUGAUUCAUGUGGAUGGUUGACGUGGGUGUGAUGUUACUUUAGAUUGGAGAUAAUGCUUAUACUUUUAUUUGAUUGCUAUCAUUAAUCUGAUUGAAUAAACACGAGUGUUUCUAUUAAAAAAAAAAAUCAUUUUGGAUUUGAAUUUCAUUUUUGCUUUAUUUGCUAGGGACUAGCAAUAAGCUGGUUGAGGGGUGUGUUGAGUGUUAGAAAAUGUAUAUUUAUAAAGGAGAAAAUCGUCAUUUUACACUACAAGUUUUACUAACACCUUUACUUUUAUGAAUUUGACCUUCUUUUGAUUUAAUUCCGUGUGUUUUAUUUUAAUUAAGUAUUUUAUGUAUUUUAGGGGCAUUAUAGUCAUUUCACAAUAAAGGAGAGAUCAGACGGCAAACGGACAUCAUUUUUGAACUCAGGACGGUCGAAAACCUUAGGAGGAGCAUAAAAGGAAAAAUGGCACUAUUCACAUGUAUGGUACUAUUCACGUGUGCGGUACUGUAUACGUUACUGUUCACGACACUGUUCACAUAGACGGACGAUGACGUGACAUUGACCAAUGAUGUGGCAUUGACUGAUGAGGUGUCACGAUCCUAUUGGGCUAAAAUUCUUAUGUACUGUUGAUGGUGACGUGACAGCAUAUCAGUGGGCGAAAAAUCUCGCGUACGGUACAUGUAUCACACAGGAUUAUUGUCAACCAAACUGCGUUACUGUUCAUCCGGGUCAAACCGUGUUACUGUUCAUCCACGUGGUCAAACCGCGUACUGUUGACUGAUGACGUGGCGCAAUCCUGAGCGUCCAAACUGUUUUUAAUCCGAUGGCCAAGAUUUACUCCAUGUAUCUAUAAAAAGGGGGCCUCUCCCCCCUAAUUUGAUAUCUCUGAAUCCAUUUUUGGGAUCCAUUUUCUGUAAUUCCUUCUCCAUCUUGUAUUUUCUUCGUAUUUUAAUAAAUUUCUAUUUUGCCCCUAGUUCAAUUAUGAGUAGCUAAUUUCCUUUCAAGCUUGGGUUGAAGGUGAAGUCUCAACAUGUGUCAUGGGCUUUAUUUGGUAAAUUUAUUUUCUUUUCCCCUCUAAUUUUUGUGGAUGAUUUGACUUUUCGUCGACAAAUAAUAAUAGUCUUGUCUAGAUACCGCCUUGGUUAUACUGGCUCUCUAGUACAAGGUUAUUAUUAUUUGGCACGAUAAGCCCUUAACACCAUAUUGAUUAGAGUGUGGUUCAUGAGGUGUGGAUUCCCCCCUCAUGAUUUAAUUGGCAUAAAUAUGGAUUAUUUUGCCCAUGGUGCAUGUUGAUACGGAUCCAGAUACCCAAGUACGUCAUUUCAAUAGAAUUCUCUUCAAUUUAUUCUCGCCAUUUCAAUUCCAAUUUCAGAAUUUAUUCUCGCCAUUUUAAUUUAAGUUUUAGCAUAUUCCAAAUCAUUUCCACCACAAAUCCAAUCCCCCAUUUACAAAAUUAAUUCUACACACAAUUAAAAUCCACCUCCUCGUGGGAUCGACACUCGUCACCAUUGAUCUAUACUACAAUAGAUUCGUGCACUUGCGAGUUCAAUAAAAUUUGCACAACAAGGAGCUAGAGGUGUACAUACCGGUUUUGUUUUGUCAUCCAUACCAAAUCUUUCUAGAACUUUCUUCAAAUAAGACUUUUGAGUCAACCAUACGCUCCCAUUCUUCUUGUCUCUAUGAAUCUCCAUCCCAAGUAUUCUCUGUGCAUCACCCAAGUCUUUCAUCUCGAACUCAGAAGCCAGCUGCUUCUUUAAUCUUUCGAUCUCAUCUCUAUUCUUCGAAGCUAUAAGCAUAUCGUCGACAUAGAGUAACAAAUAGAUGAAAGCUCCAUCUGGUAGUCUUCUAAAGUAAACACAAUGAUCGUGUUCACUUCUGGUGAAUUUUUGCCCUUGUAUAAAUUGAUCAAAUCUUUUGUACCACUACCUUGGCGAUUGCUUCUGUCCGUACAAAGAUUUAAUCAACAUACACACAUGAUUCUCCUUUCCAGCAACUCUGAAACCACAAGGCUGAAUCAUAUAGAUUUCCUCCUCCAAAUCUCCAUAUAAGAACGACGUCUUAACAUCCAAUUGAGCCAACUCUAACUUAUAUUCUGCAACUAAGGCAAGUAGGAUACGAAUGGAAGUAUAUUUUGCAACUGGAGAGAAAACUUCAUUGUAGUCAAUACCUUCCUUCUGAACAAAACCUUUUACCACGAGCCUUGCCUUGUAUCGAGGAGUUGAUUGAUUCGGAGAUCCUUGCUUCUUGGUGUAGACCCAUUUAUUGCCAAUAGCCCUUUUCCCCUUUGGUAACUCCACAAGUUCCCAAGUCUGGUUUUGAUGGAGAGAUUUCAUCUCUUCUUCCAUGGCUAACUUCCAUUGAUCACUUUCACUGCAGCGUAAUGCUUCACCGAAAGUGUUGGGGAUGUCAUCAUCAAUAACUGGAAGUGCAUAGGCUACCACCAUAUCUUUAGUAAGCCAUCCGGGUUUCUUUAUCUCUCUUCUUGGCCUCAUUGUUGCUAUAAAAUCAUCAUUAUCUACAUCAUCAAUUGUUUCUUCAUUUUGUGGGACAUCAGAAGAAACAACCUCUUCUUCAACUCUAGGUGUCACCUCCAUAGUUGAACCCUUCUUUGAUGUAGAACUAACUGGUACAUAUGGAGUUGCAUCAAACUCCAUCCGCUGUAAUACCUUUGUGGUCUUGUUCUCCACCUAUUGAGAACUUGAAGCUUUCAUCAUUGAGGCUUCAUCAAAUGUGACAUCUCUGCUACACACAAAUUUUUUAUCUUCGAGAUCCUAAAGCUUGAAGCCAUUUACUCCACCUUUGAAUCCCACAAAGAUAGUUUUUUUAGCACGAGGAUCCAGUUUACCAUCUUUGACAUGAUAAUAAGCUGGACACCCGGAUAUAUGAAGGGAAUCAUAGUCUUGUGCAUGCUUUCUAGACCACAUUUUCAUAGGAGUUUCACCUCCAAUUGCAGCAGACGGCAACCGGUUUACCAAGUGACUUGCGUAACUCACAGCUUCAGCCCAAAACUUUUUAUCUAAACCAGCAUUAGAUAACAUACACCGUACCUUCUCCAGUAAAGUACGAUUCAUACGCUCAGCCACACCGUUCUGUUGCGGAGUAUGUCUCACCGUGAAAUGUCUUUUAAUACCCUCCUUCUGGCAUACUUGCAAGAAUAGAUCAUAAAUAUAUUCACCCUCAUUAUCAGAUUGUAAUACUUUGAUCUUUCUACCAGUUUGAGUCUCCACCAAUUUCUUCCAUUUCACGAAAAUCUCUAGAACCUCAUCCUUUGCUCGCAUGGUGUAUAUCCACACACGUCUAGAGAAAUCAUCAACAAAUGUAACAAAAUAAUGGCUUCCACCAAUUAAUGCAGUCUUGGUUGGUCCCCAUACAUCACUAUGAACAUAUUCAAGGAUCUCACGAGUAUCGUGAUUAGUUGUUCCAAACUUGACCCUUGUUUUCCUGCCUACUACACAAUGCUCACAGAAAUUUAAUUUACAGGUUUUGGUAUCUUUUAAGAGUCCAUGCCUCAUCAGAGUUUGCAAAGACUUCUCUCCAGCAUGUCCCAGUCGUACAUGCCAUAGCUUUGUGGUGUCACUGUGCGCCUCAACAACAUUUGCUUCAUCAAUUGUACCUCCGUUCAAAUAGUACAGAUUGUGACGCUAAACCCCUUGCAGAAUCACCAUAGCCCCAUGUGUAAACUUCAUUAUACCAUCUUCAAUGGUAACCUUGUAGCCUUUAGCUUCCAAAGCACCCACAGAAAUUAGAUUUUUCUUUAAAGCUGGAACAAAUCUAACCUCUUUGAGUUCUCUGAUCAUUCCAUCAAACAUUUUGAGUCGAAUUGUUCCUAUCCCCAUUGUGCGACAAGGUUGAUCAUUCCCCAUCACAACUGCACCAGAUUCCAGAUUACGAAAAUCCGUAAACCAUUCCUUAAUAGGACACAAAUGAUAGGUUGCUCCAGUUAGGGCUGGGCAAAAUUGGGUUCGGAUCGGAUUCGGAUCAACCCGAUCGGAUUUCGGGUUAGUCGGGUUGGAUAAAAGCUCAUUCGAACUCAACCCGAUCUGAUCCGAUCCGAAUUAAGUUCUGAUCGGGUUGUAGGUUCGGGUUGAGUUCGGAUCGGAUCGGAUAUAAAGUAUAUACACAAUUACACACGAUCUACACAUUUGUUCACUUAUAAUAUAUAAAGCAUAUACACCAAUCUUUGCCAGGUUACACUAACAGCCCAAAGCUUUCAAAACUCAAAAGUCAAUAGCCAAAUGACGCUUGAAUCGGAUGGAGCUUGCCGGGUCGAAUGGAGCUUGAAUCGGAUCAGGUGAUGGUGGAGGAUUGGAGGUGUGGAGGUGGCGCAGCAGAUCUGGUACUUGGUGGCAACAGAUUGGUAGAUCCGGUACUAGCGGAGCAGCUUUUGGUUGGCGUCGACUCUCGGCGGUUGCUGCAUCUGGUGGCCGGAUCCAACUUGCUCCUUGAACUUCGUGUGUGUUUGACUGUCUGUGAAUCGUGACUGUUUCGUUUGUUUGGCUGUGGGUGUGCGCUGUGUAACUGCCGCUUGUCGUCGUCGGUUGUGGGAUGCGAGAGAGGGAGGUUGUGGCGUGUACAUCGCUGGUCGGCGGCUGUGGGUGGGUGUAGGCGUGAAGCCGUGAACUUUGUGUGUGAUUGACUGUUUUUGUGACUGUGUUUCAGUGUUUGUUUGUGACUCUGUGUGUAGAUGGUGUGUGGAUCGUGUGUGUGGUGUGUGAUUGUGUGUGGAUCGUGUGUGUGGUGUGUGAUUGUGUGGGUGGUGUGUGAUUGUGCGGGUGAGUGUUUAGGAUUUGAUGGUGUGUGAUUGUGUGGGUGAGUGAAGUUUGUCAGUUUUGGUUUUUUAAUUUUGUUUUGUUUUUUUUUUAUUUCGUGUCAACCUGAUCGGAUUUUCAGAUCGGAUCGGGUUUCAUCCGAUCCGAUCAUAAUCCGAUCGGGUUGACACAAAUGGAUCCGAUCGGGUUUUAUACAUAACCCGAUCCGAUCCGAACUCGACUUUUUUCGGAUCGGAUCGGGUCGGGUCGGGUAUUUUGCCCACCCCUAGCUCCAGUAUCAAGUAUCCACUCGCUCGAACUAGCCACGUAUGCUGCAGGAGUAAUACUUAGUGAAUAAUCAAAGUCUUCAUCUUUCCGAGCCAUGUUUGCUGCUGCUGGUUUCUUCCCAUCUCUCUUUUGAGCCUUUGGAUAAUCUUUCCUCCAAUGGCCCUUUUCAUGACAAAAGGCACACUCGUCUCGAGCUAUAUUUCUACUUCUCGAUUUGGAUCGAGAAUUCUUUCCACCACGCUUUUUCCUUUUCUCCAUCGCCCAAUCUCUGCUCACCAAAGCUUCAGACGAUGCUGGUUCAGAAUUUUUAUUAUUAUUCCGAGUCUCCAAGUUAGUCAAUGUUGUGCAAACAUCUUUGAAGAUGAUCACGCUUUUCCCAUAUAUCAAGGUAGUCACAAAAUGGCUAUAUUCCUCUGGUAGUGAGUGUAACAGAAUCAUAGCCUUGACUUCAUCCGUAAUAUCUUCAUCAAGAUUCUUCAAAUCAGCAAGUAACUUUUCAAAUCUUGAGACAUGAUUGUGCAUUGACACCUCAGGCUUUAUUCGAAAGCCAUAUACUUGGCUCAUUGCAUGAAGGCGAUUUUCAGGACUUUUCAGCAAGUACUUUUCCUCCAAUGUACGCCACAAAGUCAUCGCACACUCCUCAUCUUUCACCAAGUAUUUCAUCUCCCUGGUCAAACAAGAUCUGAUCUGACCACAAGCUUUCUCGUUCAUACGAUCCCAAAUUUCUUCAUCAUACAAGUGUCUUUUAUUUUUCAGAACAACAUCGAGAUCGAUUUGAAUAAGGGCAUCCAUAACUUCGCGCCUCCACAUGCCGAAGUUGAUUUUCCCAUCAAACUUUUCAACAUCGAUCUUCUGGCCUCCUAUAACAGAUGCUGAAUAGCGAUCUGACAAAUCUCGCCUCCCACCUGAAGUGUCUCCUGAAAUAGUCUCGGUAGAUCUCUCCCCAAUUCUGGAAGUUUCACCUUCUACCAUUUUCUCAACGAACUAUUUCCACUUGAAAAACAGUCCCUAUGAUGUUAAUUUCGCGUGAAUAAAUGCACCAGGAAAGUUCCCAGGAGACUGGACGGGAACUCAGUUCCAAUUAAAAACCAGAAUCCUUAGACUCUUAUCGCCUUUGUUGACAUAACUUUCCUAGACAUGCAAAAAUACACACUACUUACAAUAGACUGUCUCCCAAGUACAAAUGGCCGUCUCCACCGUAUUCGUGAAUAGUAUCGUAUGUGAACAGUACCGUAUACGUGAAUAGUACCGUAUACGUGAACAAUACCGUAUCCCCCAACUACGAACCGUCGGCUCUUAUACCACUUGUUGUGUGCGGAAUGCGGAAUCAAGCGCACCAAAUAAUUAUAGAAAAAUAAAGGACACAAGAAUUACGUGGUUCGAUAAUUAAACCUACAUCCACGGAGGCAAGAAAGAAUAAUUGUUUAUUUAACAAUUAAUAGAGUAUAAAUAUUUGAGUAACGAAUCUCACUUCCCAGAAACCCAAAUAUACCCAGUAUUCUCACACUCUGCAGGAAAGAUAAAUUCCCUAGACACACUUCUCACACUUCUCUCAAAAGCUUAGAAACUUAUAAGCUUAACAAUUUUGGGAUAAUUUAGAAUGAAGAAAUGGCUUCAAUUUAUAGGCUUCAAGCUUGCACUAUUCCACCUAAUCCCUCUGCAAUUUGUCAAUCUUCAUCUCUGUCAAUUUGACAAAUUUUGCAAACUUUUCCAUUUUUCUUCAUUUGGUGCAGGAUUGUCAAAUGCCAAAUAUUUUACAACUUGCAAUUUGGUGCCGACUUUGAAAAACAAAAGCAAUGCAUGUGGCUCACUUUUCUUUUUCAACCAAAACUCUUUGACUUUUCAACAUGCAUGUAUUUGAAUUCCAAUUUUGAAUUUUUCAACAAACACUGCCUCUUCUGUCCGACAUCUCUGUAUUUUCUUGAACUAUUAGUCACCAUACUAGAAGUGACAAUUUUUGACAUGAUCAACUAAUCCGACACAAGCACCAGAAAAAUUAAUGAACUUUGCACUUACUAAAAUUGGCAUGAUUUUUAAUUUAGAUCAAUUAAAAACAUUUCAUUUAAUAAUGUCGGAUGCAAUAUAAGUCGUCAUAAAUCAUUAUCAACAGACGAUCAAGGCCUGCCGAUAAAGACUCAAGUGGUUUAGGUCUUUGCAUGUUCUAUGCAUAUGUCAUGUCAGAAAAUUAUUUCUUAGUUUCUUAGAUAGGACUGAUGAAGGAGAGAUGUAAAUAUGAACGCCGUUCUAUGUCAAUCAAUGUUAAAUUCGCCAUAUCAUUUUAAUGGAUGUUAAUAUCGCUAAUUUGGAAUCAAAGUCAUGAAUCAAUUCACUUGUUUUAAUAAAUCUGCUUCUGGAUGCGUUGGGAUACGCUUUGUAAACCCAAGUCAGCUGGGGGAAUUGGGUUCAAAAAGCUUCAUGCUUUUAGUCUUGCUAUGUUAAGGAAGCAGGGCUGGAGAUUGAUGACAAAGCCGAAUUCUUUAGUUGCACAAAUAUUCAAAGCAAGGUAUUAUUCCCGAACUUCUUUUGCUGGAGCUACUUUGGGGCAUAAUCCUAGCUACGCCUGGCAGUCCAUUAUGGCAGCCAAGCAGGUUGUUAUUGAAGGUAGCCGAAUUCGCAUAGGGGAUGGCGAACAAACAUUUAUCGGCAAGGAUCCAUGGCUUCCUGACAGUGAGUGUGGAUUUAUCAAAACUUUGUUGAGUGAGCAAGUCAAGUCGGCUCCAGUUAGCUCGUUAAUGGUUCCUAACACUAGAACUUGGGAUUAUGAUAUUCUUAACGAUAUUUUUUAUGAUAGGGAUAAGAAUCUAAUAUGGCAGAUCCCUCUGAGCAACAGAAGCAAUACAGAUUCAUGGUAUUGGAUUCAUGAGGCCAAAGGGGUUUAUGCGGUCUGAAGUAGCUACAAGAUGUUGUUGCCCUGCUCAGAUAUCCCUUCUAGCAGCAUUUGGAAUCGGUUAUGGAGAUUAGAGGUGCCAAGUAAAGUGAAGCACUUCAUGUGGCGAGCAUUGACAAAUGUCCUUCCUACAACUGAGAAUCUCCUCAAAAAAUAUAUAGAGGUACCCCCCUGCUUGUCCUAUUUGCCAUGCUAGCUCUCGAUUUGGAUUGAGAUGGAUUGCUUAAAUGCGUACAAUGCUUUAGUUGAUAAUCUCGCGGGUCCUAGUAGUUAUAGUCUUAUUAUUGAAGAUUAUUGUGCUUUGACUAAUUCUAUACAAGAUGUUUCUUUCUCUUUUGUUAGACGGUCUGCGAAUUCCGUUGCUCACUCUGUAGCUCAGGCGGGGAAUUCUUUGUCAGGCCACGGAGAGUGGAGGGCUGUUCCACCCUCGUUCUUAAUUGCUGAUCUGUUUGGCUUUUCUUCUUAAUGAAUAUCCAGUUUCUUCAAAAAAAAUAAAUAAAUCUGCUUCUUUUUUCUCCUUUCCCCACUACUACCAGUUCACUUGGUACGAUUUCUCUCCUUCAAAGAUUAACGCUCUUUCUUCUCAAGAUGCAAAUGGCUUUUCAAAUUGACAUUUUUGUUAAUGCAGGUCCUACAUUCAUGGUUUUCUUAAGAUUUUAUAUCAUCUGAGCUUUAUGCAUUUAAUGAGGGAUAAGGUUUACUAUAUCCGCCAAUUAAUUGCGUUAGGUCUAUUAUUCAUAGAGUUGACAUCUUAUGCUAAGUCUAGUAAAUUGAAAUUUUAUUUAUUGAAUACCAUGCAAUAUGGUUUAAUUUAUUAAAUUCCUAGCUAAUUUAGUGAAAUUCUAAUUUAUUAGGAAUAUUAUUUCCUAGUUUAAUUAGAUGUCUAAUUUAGCAAGUUAAUUAGUGACAGGAUUUUACAAUUGGUGCGUAUGAUUUAUUUAGAAGAAGAAGUUGGUUUAAACAAAAAGUUCAUUAAAUACUCUAGAUAUUUCUUAGAAGACAAGCAAGGCAAGCAUAUCAUAUUUAUUCCUACUCAAAUUUAUAGCAAUUAUAAGAAGAAAGAAACUCUUAUUUGGAAAGAAUCCUAGUCUUUCAAUUGCAGUCUUUAUAAAUUUUUUCACAUCAAGCCCAUACUCAUCGAACAAUCUAUCAUAUUUAAGCCAAGAUUUAUCCAUUUUUUGUUUAGUACCUGACAUAUAAUUAGACAAAUCUCAACAUUAUGUACUAAUGCACAGCAAUGAUAAACGAUUUCCAUUAUCAAUAAAUUAAGCAACAAAACACUAUUAAUAUUCAGUUUAUGAAUUUAAUGAAAUAAAUAAAUAUAAAACAAAAACUUGUCAUCAUGUGCAACAAAUAUAACUUCACCAAUGUGCUGUCAUCGUUUACCAAAACCUCUAACUAACAAUAUCCAACUAAUAAUAUCUUAAAUAAUUUAGCCCACAUUCAUUUAACAUUUAUUUAAAAAAAAUUCUAACAAUCCAGCAUUUCAUGGACCACUAUAUAUAUAUAUUACACAUUCCUUAGACCACAUGACCAAACUUGCCCCCACAUGGUACCAUUUCUUUCAAACAUAAAAAAAACAAUUGAAAAAGGGGGCCUCACUUUUCAACUCAAUAAAAUACUCUAGAAAGUAUUAUCAGUUACCAAAUCUAACUCACAAUCAUUAAAAAAAUGUCGACACCAUUGAACCUCAGUUUCGGAUCCAUCCCAAUAAAAAACAUUAGUUAAUGAAAAGUGCUAUAUCAUCAAAGCAAAAUCAGUUCACACACAUGCAAGCUUUGACUGAAAAAUUACAAAAUAUAACAACAUUCAGACAAACCAUUGCCAGCAAGCAUUUUUUAAACAUUGAAUGGAAAGGCAAGUAAAGAAUUGAACAAACCUGAUGUUAGAAAUCGAAUUCGGGGAACAAGCAGUGAAAUCCUGCAAUUCAGAAAAAAAAAAUUUAAAAAAAAAGCGGACAUACUAAAUUAAAUAAUUGAGCAAUUUGGCUCACUAUUUUUCUAUCAAAACUUUUAGUAUUUUCUCUUCACUUUCUAGGCAAACAAACACAGCAACAUCUUUUUUAACACUUGAAAUCUUCCAGCUCCGGUGCAAGCCUCAGUCACAAUGUAGUCACUUGAUGGCACAUCUUCACUCAGACUUUUCAGUAAAGUGAAUUAAAGCUUUUAGAACGACACAUAAAACUUUAAAUUGUUCCUGUAACACACAGACAGUCUUUAGUUCGGUAUCGUAAAUUCACUUUCUUAUAAUCUCGUUAAUAUACUUUUUGAACUUUAUUGUAAUCUUCAUUAGGCGUUAAUUUUUAUUUUUCCUUUUUUCUAAAAAAAAUAAAGCUCUUCCGGAGUCAUUGUAAGAUUCAUGACAAAUACCUGUUUCCGUUGGUAAUCCUGUACAUUGGAACAACUUGAGGACUCUUCUUAGAAAAAUUUCAGCUGACAUCAGCGGUUAGUUCCCAAUGUACAGGAUCCAAACACAAAUUUAACACAUCAUAACUUGUUAACCGGGUUUGAUCAGCAUCCUGUUUUAGGUCUGUGCGUGUUCUAUGCAAAUGUCGUGUCAGAAAAUUAUUUCUUAGUUUCUUAGACAGGAAUGACGAAGGAGAGAUGUAAAUAUGAACUCCGUUCUAUGUCAGUCAACGUUAAAUUCGCCAUGUCAUUAUAAUGGAUGUUUAUAUCGCUAAUUUGGAGUCAAAUUAGGUAUUAGUCUUUAGUAAAUCUGCUUCUUUUUUCUCCUUUCCCCACUACUACCAGUCCACUUAACUUUUCCUUCACGGCAUGUUGAGUAUUCCGUAUCCUCCAUCAGUGCCUUGAAUGAGAUCUUUUACUCCAUCAAUGCUUGUAUGUUGUGUUUCAUUUGAGGAUUAGAUUUCCCAGUACGUAGACAGAGAACUCUAACUCUGUUGUCCGAUGUCUCUGCAUUUUCUUGAACUCUCUACUCUGACUCUCCUCGUGUAAUUAAGGAGGAUUAAAGUAAAAGAAAAGGGUAGAACCAGUUCUCCCUAUUUGUUGCACUAGCUAUCAGAUUUCCAUAUUAUAGUAACUAUUGGCCAAAAACAUAGUUUUUUAUUUAAAUUGUCAAAAAGACUUGAAUGUUCUCAUCCUAAAAUAAGUGCCAUUAAAACAAUCAUAAUAGUUAUGGAAUGUUUAUAACUAGAAUGAGUGCUCCUACUUAAACUAGUAAAAUCUCUUGAACUAAUUUAUCGGUUCAAUCUUGCUCACAUGAGUAAGGAGAGGGUAUUUGUUUUAAAUUUUAUUGUAUUGAAUUUCGCACUUUCAAUACUUCUACGUAGUUAUUACGAUUUCAUCAAGUUUACGAUGCCGAAGAGCCAACCAUGCUUGAUCAAACAAAAUUAGACCUCACUAAAUCUGAUAAUGUAAAUGCUAUAAUUUCAUUAACUUUCGAACGGCAGCUAACAGUUUAGUGAUCUGCAGAUAGCUUUUGUCAAUUUAGGGUGGACAAUUUUACACCCUCAAAAUAUUGUAGUAUUUUUUAUAAUAUAGCAAAAAUAGGGUAUAAGAAUGAUAACUUCCCAAUUUUUUAAAAAAGUUACUGUUAAAUUCAAAUUGUAAUUGUAAUUGAAUUUAAUAAUUUUAAAUCCAAUAAAAUUUGCCACAUAUUGAUUUAAAUUUAUAUUAUCAUUACUUAACGUCAUAUUAAUUUUCAAUUGUUGAGUAUACUAUUAAAUACAAUUUGUUGAAAUUUAGAUUGUUAAUUUUAUAAAGAAGUUUAGAAGGAUUAUUCGUGUUGGAGAUAAAAAUAUGGUUGGACAAAUAGAAGCUUGAGAUAAUUUAAUUACAAUUUAAGUACCCCUAUCUAAGGAAGAAAGUGACCAAUUAGGUUGUGCCACGUAUCCAAAAGAUUAAAGAUGCCUUGAUGCAAAAGGUCGGAUCCAACUCACAUUCAUAUUUUUCCUUGAGAUGGGGUUACUUUCUUCACAAUAUUGACUUGAUUAUCGAAAUACCAUCACUGACCACUACCAGCAAUCGCCCUCUAAUAGCCUUGUAAAUAAGAAAUUAAAAUUUCAACAUAAAUAGAGAUACACAAAAUAUAUUAAUUUGACACAAAAUAUUUCUGCUAUUAGUAAAUUAUCAUCAUUAAUAUCAAUACCUUACUUUAUCUUUUAAUCAACAUACAAGUGUUAUCAACAAUGUUAACAAGUAAAUUAUGUAAAAUUAUCGUUAACAAUUAAUUAAACAAAUAAAAAUCCAACUUUAGUAAGAAAUCAUUAGGUUCAAGUGACUAAAGUAAAACAAACAAAAUCUGUCAAUUAAAAUAAGCUAUCAGUAAUAUUAAGUUUAAAAAUUAUAAAACUUUUAGUUAUUAAAAGCUUAUUUUGUGUGUGUGUGUGUGUGUAUGCUGCGUUGAGAUAAGUUAGGUUUAGAAAUUAAGAACUCUAGCUGACAUACAUUUAUGAUUAAAUUUUUUAAUGUAAGUUUUAUGAUUAAAAUUAAAAAUAUAAAUAAUUAAAAUAAAGAAUGUAGGCGUGAGUAUCCAGUAGAUUUUUUCUCAAUACCAAAUCAACUCGCAUCCUGCAGCGGAUUUCAAUUUAAAAUACUAAACCCACUCACAACCCAGAAAAUUAUUCACAGCAGGUAAGGUUUUAUAGACGAAUUUGGACUGCUUUGUGGGAUGAUGAAUAAUUUUGCCAUCCUUGAACUCAAGGUUCAUCGUUUGCAAGGUCCCUCAUAAAUCAAGCACCCUCUUUGGUGGCUCUAUUCUUCAAAGCUGAACUUUCCCGCCAGUUAUCAAAGUUCACCCUCAAGAUAGCCUGAAAGCUACUUCCUUAAAUAUUUUAGUUCAUCUGAAGCUUGACAAAAAAUGACACUACAAGAAAAAGUAUCUACUAUGACAGUCUUCUGUGUGACAGUUUUUGGUCUGGAGGCCUACAACAAUAGAAUCGUGAUAGAUUUAUUUUCUGUCAUACACUUAUGACAUAUUUGUGAUAGAAAUAUCGUUUAUCAAGAAAUUAUGAUAUAUUGGUGAUAUAAAUAUCAUAUAUCAAGAAAUUAUGAUAGACUAGUGAUAAAUUAUUUGACUAUCAAGAAUGAAAGACUGAUUUUUUAUGUUGACUUUAAUUGCGCGGGUUUGACUUAAUUUUUAAAAAUAUUAUAUUACUAAAAUAGAAGUGAAACGAUGUCGUCUCAGUUGUAUGUUUCGCAAGUUUGAGGAUAACAGACGUAAAUAACAAAAAACAAUUAAUAAAACGUUGCGUUUUGUUAAGGGGGGAAACAUUUUUGUGAGAAAAGAGGGAAAUUUUUUUCUAAGUGUUCAGAAAAUUUGCAAGCGUUAUUGUGGAAUCUCAAAAUCGAUUAGCACACUUGGAGCAAACCCUCAAAGGCCAGCCAUAGCAAACUAACGACACCCAAACACCCAUAGUUUCAAAAUCAUUCUGGUUGUUUCACUGAAUCAUCUCUCUUUGCUGGGACGAAGUCAGUGCUAAUCGAAACCCAAAUUGGAAUGAGAACAACAUCCAGGGUACUUUUAUUGACUGAAAGAAACCCAAUCGCUUACCGUGAAAGAAGACCCAAAUCGUUGUUGCCGAAGUUGAAACCCUAGGCUUGACGGUGAAUUGAAGCUUCACGCCCACUGGUGAGUCAUUGCUGCAUUUGCAUGUAUUUAAUUUUGACUAUUUAUUGAACUUUUAUGUAAAGUAGUAAAUAAUUUGUAAAAAAUUGAAAUGUAUUUGCAUGUAUUGCAUAUAUUGCAUAUAUUUCGGUAAUCAAUUUACUAAAUAAUUUCCCAGGAAGAUAUAAUGUUGUUAAUUUUGAGUUCUGUUUUGAGUUGUAAUCGUGCAUUGCAUAAUGCUGUUAAUUUUUUUUUAUUCUAGGUAAUUCUGAAUUAUAUUCAUGUGUUUGUGUGUGAAUUUUUUUUCUAGCUAUUUCUGAUAUUGAAGCUUCGUUAAGUUAAAUGAGUGUUUGUGUAUGAAGAUGGUGAUAUUGGCCUGAAAUGUCUAUAACAAAGCCUGAGGAGGGACUUUUAGUAACUGAUUCUGUUAUGUAAAAUUGAGGGAUUCUCACAUCUCAUUGUCAUCUACCUAUGCAUGUGGUGUUGUAGCUAUUUUGCAUCUGGUGGUAUUAUUGUUACUGUUGUUGUCUUGAGUCGUAACAUUUGCGUGUCAAAUAUAAAUAGUUGUGAUUGCUGCAUAAACGUGACAGUUCGAUGUUCUUGAUUUGUUGAAGGCAUUGUAUUAAGGUACUUAAAGCUUUUCUUUGUGUUUGCUUUCAUUUUUGUUCUACUGAUGUAUAUUAUUUGAAGUUGUAUUAUUUCUUCUUAGGCUUACUCAUAUGAUUAAUGUAAUUUAUUGGUACCUUUUUAGCCCUCUUGAAUCCAAGUUUUGGAAUUUUAUCAACUGAUCAUUCAAAAUAUAUUUCAGUAAUCAAUAUUGUUGCUGGAUUUGUACCUGGAAUUGGAUAUAACAGCAGAUUGUUGUGUUUAAUUUGGUAAGUUCCAUUUCUUAUCCUCUAUUAUUUGACGUAGAUUGAAGUUGUUAUACACUUGCUUAAAAUUUACAUAUCUUUAAAUUUAUAAUUAUGAUACUAUGUAAUGUGUUUGUUGUGGGGUCUGUCUUAUUUAUUAUAUUUAUAGUAUAGUAGGAGAGUGAACUUUUGAAAAGUAUGAAAUUCAGUUUAUCAGCUUUCUUGGUUGCUAUAUUUGUAAUUUUAAAAUUUGUUUAGUUCACAUGGUGUUAUAACAUUAGACAAAUAUUCUAAGUAUGUACAUUCUUUCUUUGUUUUAUGUAUAUGUCAGGAACAUUAAUUAUUAAGCCCGAAAUGGAUAAAUCUUGGAUUCAAUGUAAUCGACUGUCGACAGAAUAUGAAGAGGGUGUCUAGAAAUUUAUAAAUUUUGCUAUAAAAAAUGCUGCAGGGAGUAGCGUCAUUAGGUGUCCAUGCGUUGAUUGUGGGAAUUUAUCAUUUGAAACACCUACAACUAUAAAAGAUCAUUUAUAUAUGCAUGGUUUUGAUGUGAAAUACGACAAUUGGUUUUGGCACGGGGAAGAGAUUUGUAAGAGUUCUUCUCCUCAAAGAGAAAACCAUUUUCAGCAACAAAAUAUAGAGUUUGACAAUGGUAAUGAGUUAGAAAUGGUUAAUGAUGCUUAUAAGGGUUGUUGUGGGGACCCUAAGGCAUUCAAAGAGUUGCUAGAACAGGCUGAGAAACCCUUGUACCUAGGAUGCACAAAAUUUACUAAGUUAUCCUUUUUAGUGAAAUUGUUCAAUGUGAAGGGUAGAUUUGGGUGGUCUGACAGUAGCGUUUCUGCAUUGUUGAGUGUUUUAGCAGAUGCUUUCCCUAAAAAUAAUGAAAUUCCAACCUCUAUGUAUGAGGCCAAAAAGACAAUGUCAGCUUUGGGCUUAGAAUAUGUUAAAAUUCAUGCUUGCCCAAACGAUUGCAUACUCUACAGAAAAGAGUAUGAAGGUCUUUUGGAAUGUCCUACUUGUGGGUUAUGUAGAUGGAAGAAAAAGGAUGGUACUGUAGACCAAUAUAGGAAAGGGGUUCCUGCAAAAACUUUAUGGUAUUUUCCUCCUAUACCUAGGUUUAAGCGCAUGUUUCAGUCAUCCGAAACUGCUAGGGACUUGACUUGGCAUGCAAAUGAGAGGAUGGUUGAUGGUAAACUCUGACAUCCGGCUAACUCACCAUCUUGGAAGUUAGUAGAUGAGAAAUGGCCGAUCUUUGCAUCCGAUCCUAGAAACCUUCGCCUAGCUCUAUCAGCUGAUGGAAUCAAUCCACAUAGCUCUCUUAGUAGUACAUAUAGCUGCUGGCCAAUAAUUCUUAUUACUUAUAAUCUUCCACCAUGGUUGUGCAUGAAACGAAAAUUCAUGAUGUUGUCCCUUUUGAUUUCUGGUCCUCAACAACCGGGUUUAGAUAUUGAUGUGUAUUUGCAACCUCUUAUUGAGGAUUUGCAAACUUUAUGGGAUGUUGGGGUGGAGGCAUAUGAUGCCUACAAAAAUGAGUACUUUAAUUUGCGGGCUGUAUUACUAUGGACAAUAAAUGACUUCCCGGCAUACGGAAAUUUAGCAGGAUGUACUGUUAAAGGAUAUUAUGCAUGCCCAUAUUGUGGUGUAGAAACACCAAAAUGUAGACUUAAACACAGUGGAAAAAAUGUAUACAUUGGGCAUCGGCUUUGGCUUCCUCAUGGUCAUAAAUUUCGGUUCCAAGCAAAAGCCUUUGACAAUAGUGUGUGUGAUGAAACCCCCCCAAAAUUGUUAAACGGGGAGGAAAUUUUCCAGUUGGUCGACUCUAUUGAUAAUAGAUGGGGGAAAAGCAACAGUAAAAAGCGUAAAAGUGUGAACAAUGAUGAUCUCGUGUGGUGGAAGAAGAAAUCUAUAUUUUAUAAUUUAGAGUAUUGGAAGCACUUGCUUGUGCGGCAUCAAUUAGAUGUUAUGCACAUUGAAAAGAAUGUGUGUGAGAACAUCUACGGUACACUGCUACAUAUUCCUGGAAAGUCCAAAGAUGGACUGAAGUCGAGGAUGGAUCUCUUGGAAAUGAAAAUUAGGCCCACCUUAGCACCACAAGUUAAAGGAAACAACAAUCGUACAUGGCUUCCUCCUGCUUGCCACACCUUAACUAAGGAGGAAAAAGCAAGAUUCUGUGCAGCUUUGAAAAGUAUCAAGGUUCCUACUGGAUACUCUUCAAAUAUUAGGAAUCUUGUUUCAAAAAAGGACUUUAAACUCCAGGGUCUUAAGUCUCAUGACUGUCAUGUUCUUAUGCAACAACUUUUGCCAAUUGCCGUAAGGUGUGUGCUGCCCAAACAUGUCAAAGAAGCUAUCAUUAGGUUUUGUUUCUUCUUUAAUUCGUUGUGUGGGACUGUGAUUGACGUGACAAUGCUAGAUGAAUUGGAGAAAAACAUCGUAGAGACUUUGUGGUUGCUUGAAAAAUGUUUUCCCCCUUCUUUUUUUGACAUAAUGGUUCAUCUUACUAUUCACUUAGUGAGUGAAGUUAGACAAUGUGGUCCCGUAUAUUUUCGGUGGAUGUAUCCUUUUGAGCGAUACAUGAAAACUCUAAAAGGCUAUGUUCGAAACCGUAACUGUCCUGAGGGUUGCAUAGCGGAGAGUUAUAUUGCCGAGGAAGCAUUAGAAUUUUGUGCAGAAUACUUGGAAAACAUGCCCACAAUUGGGUUUCCACCUGGACAUGUGCAGAAUUUAGAAAUUGACAAGCCCAUGAGUGGUGGACAAAUGGUGGAAGUUGAUCGAACUUCAUUAGAUCAAGCACACUUGUAUGCUUUGCAUAACACUGAGGAAGUUCAGCCUUAUAUAAGGUGAUGUUAUCUAACUUGUGUUAUUUUAGCUUUAUAUUUGUCAGGUUUUGGUAGUUUAGGAACCUGAAAAUUUUGUCCUUUUAAAUGAUUUUUAGAGAGCAUGAGGAUUGGUUACAACUUUGCCAUCCACGAAAAAAUGAGAAGUGGUUGCAAGAUGAACACAACCGAACAUUUGCAGAUUGGCUAACAGAUAAGGUUUUGAUAACAUUAGUUUAAUUAAUUCCUUUUUUCCUUUCUGUUUCGGUUUGUGCUUGUUUAACAUUAUAUUCCUGUUGAUUAAUAAUAGGUAAAUAUGUUGAUAGAGAACGGUGACGUUGUUACUCAAACAAUCCGUUCCCAAGGGCCUCGUCCUUAUGUUUUCCAACAUCCUGGAUAUGACAUAAAUGGUUUUCACUUUGUUACAAGAGAUCGAGACUUAAAUAGAGUUACUCAAAAUAGUGGAGUGUCAUUGGUUGCACAAACAAUUUCAGUCGCAAGUUCAAAAGAUAAAAAUCCUGUCACUUCUAACAUCACAUACUAUGGAGUGAUUAGAGAGAUUUGGGAUCUAGAUUAUGUUAUCUUUAGAAUUCCAAUAAUGAAGUAUGACUGGGUACAUACCAGAGGUGGUGUUAUGAAGGAUAGACUCGGAUUUACUUUAGUAGACUUGCAACGAAUGGGUCAUAAAUCUGAUCUAUUUAUUUUAGUUUCUCAACCCAACCAAGUUUUUUAUGUACCUGAUCAGCUUGAUAAGAAGUGGUCAGUUGUAUGCCAAAUGCCUAGAAGAGGUAAACCCACACAAAGAAGCGAAGAUGCAGUGGAAUACCCUUCGUUGACUACUGAAUUUCCAAGUGCUGAUAACAUAAACUCUAUUGACGAUGAUUCUGAAAUGUAUGCACGAGACAGCAAAUAGGGAAUUUGGAUUGGACCUUGAAUAUUGUUUCUGUGUUUGUUUGCAUGAGCUGUUUGUUGAGUCCUUCUCAAAAUGAUAUAUGUUAAGGUUAAUACAAGAAGUAUUUAUGGUAUCUAUUAUUAUUUUAUUUUAUAUUUUUUGGCAGUUUUUAUAUGGUAAUGUAUUCUCAUCAUUUGAUUUUGUUCUGCAGUUGUGAUAUUCAUCAUGGAUAAGGGAAAAAAUGUCCCUGAGAGUUCUUCACUUGAGCAAUCUGAUGCCCAUUUCGAUGAGUUUUUAGAUGAACAAAAUGAUGGAUUUGUUGGUGAUGAAUCAGAGUACCAUGAGGCACUUAUCCGUGAAGGAUAUGAUCCUGAAACGCCCCUGGCCGAUCAUGUCCCUGAUCUUGAUGAGUUUGGAGAUGGGAACGAGGAUGAACCUAAGAGCAGCAGUAAGCGAAGCAGAGGUGGCACUGUUGGGUCAGAACAAAACAAAAAGAGGAAAAGAAGUGGAAGGUUUGUGGUUAAAUACAACAGCCUUGGUGUUCCAGUUGGUGAAGAAGCCAUUGAGCUGGCUACGUAUAUUGGUGUUUUGGCUCGUACAUCAAUUCCAAUCCUCUACAACGAUUGGCGUAGAGUUCCAGAUGAUACGAAUGAGCGUCUAUGGGAGUCUGUUAAGGUAUAAAAUAAUUUCCUUAAGACGAUUACUCUAGUUUUAUUGUGGCUGGAAAAAUCUCACAUUUUGAUAAUGAAACUUGAAGGUGUACUUCGUGGUUCAUCCUCGAAGUAGGAAGCAAGUACUACAAGCCAUCGGAGCUGCAUUUCAGAACUUUAAGUACACUCUAAUGAGGAACUAUGUUUUACCAUUUGUUAAUGACCGUAAAAGGCUUUUCAAGCCACCAGCACGGUACAGCACGAUUGCUAAGGAAAGUUGGAUUAAGUUUGCAAAGGAAAGACUAUCUGAAAAAUUUCAAGUGAGUGUCUAAUUCAAGUGUUAAUAAUAUAUCAAUGCUUAUGACAUUUUUCCUUAUGGGUUUAUCCAUUGUUUGUUUGGUUGUUUUAAGCAGAAAGUUAGUGGUGUGAAUAAACUUAGGCGGGCACAAAACAAGUUUAAUCAUCGCCUAAGUAGAAAAGGUUACGUUGGGUUAAUGCAGGAAGUGGUAUGUACUGUUAGUUAGUUGCUAACAUUUUACUGUUGUUUGGUUAAUGCAAAUAAUGAUUGUUACUAACAUUUUAACUUUUUAUUAACUUUUUUACAGUGCUCAGAAACAGGCCUUACUGAAGAAGAAGUGGACAGGAGUGUUCUUUGGAAGAGAGCUCGGCAAAUGAAAAACGGAGGAUACCACCCCGAUGUUGAACCAGUUAUUAAAAAAAUCGUAAGAAAGUUUUUGCUUACUAUUGUAAUUCUAUUUGUGAUUACUUAUACUUUGAUAACAUUGGCUUACUUAAUUCAUUUGUGUGGUAGUAUAAACUGGAGAUGGAAGCUAAGAAAGGAAAGAUGUGGUCAUCUGGAAAAAAUGAUAUUCUCGCACAAUCUUUAGGAAAAGCUCCAAAAUGUGGUCAUAUGCAAGGAGUGGGCAAGUUUGUGACCCCGUCUCUGUAUUUUCAAACUUACCAAAGGCCUGCUGAUAGAGACAGGCAAAGAGAGGACCGUCUAUGGAGGGAAUCAAUUAAUCGGCAGUUGGAAGAAAUGAGAAAUGAACUAAGAAAAACACCUCGUCAUUCAGAUAUAGCAAGUUCCAGCUACCCUCGCGUGCCUGGUGAAAACAAUAAUGUUGUUGGAGAUGAUGGCAUAGAGUCUGUUCAAGCUGAAGCAGUUGCUGAAACAACAAAGGUCAGUUUGUUUACUAUUUUUCUUAUUAUUUCUAGAUUUAGUCUUUUGUUGGAUAAGGGUUGUUGUAGUUACUGUUCUUACAUGUUAUUUGUGGAUUUAGUUUGCUGUAUGUUUACUAUUUAUACAUAUGUUCUUUCUGGGGUGUCAUUUGAUACUGUUAACUACUUUGUAAGAGAAAUUUAGAGUAUUUAGAAACUAUUUAUGCCAAUCACACUGAACAAUUAUGUUUGUAACAGCCUGAUCAUUUGAAAAAAGGAAGCAAGGGACACCUAAGAAAGAGACAGACAUAGCAAACAAAAACAAGAAUACACCUGCCAAAAAAUUCUCUGUCAUUGCAAGAAAGAGUCCAAGAUUGAACCCAACUGAAAUUCCAGUGGAGAUGCCUGAUGAUUUGUUACAGGGAAAAAAAAAUAGCAAUCCUAAACAUCAAGGCACAAAAAAACAUUUGAACUUUGAAUCAGCAGAACAUCAUAAUGAUAUAAUAGAGAUAGGACAUACAGAUGCUGUAAAACAGACCAAGGACGAGGGCAAAAAAGUUGCAGUGAAGCUUUUGCCAACAAGGAGGAACACAAGGCAUGCAGGAGGAGUACAACGAAACAAGAUUCCGUUGCUGCAGUUGUUUGGCACAAUGUGUGAAGCUAAGAUGUCAGACCAAGAAUGGAUUCCAUAUCUACUAGAUGAUGGUGUUUUCCAUUUGGAAGGGAUUAGAGCUCAUAUUGGAAGGCGUGACUGCAGUGCAGUUCUGUCAAUGGAUGCUAUAGGAGUAAACGUAAUCGAAGUCUAUAUUGCGUAAGUGAUUCAUAAUCAUUCUAGUUUUAUGUGUACUUUUUAUGGGAGUCCCAAUUAAUGGACUUUAACAUUGUUUGUCUAUUGUUUAUCAGGAUGUUGUAUGCUUCCAUUCUCCCUGGGAAAAGAGGAGUGAAACCAUUUGGAUUCAUUCGUCCAGGUCUGGUUUCACUAGGCGAAGAACGUAAUCCUACUGCAUCAUUUGACCUUAGGGCACGUGGAGUUUGUGAUCGAUUGAAAAAAGCAAAGAAGGGACAAUUCAUCUUUAUGCCUUAUAAUCCCUAGUAUGCUCCUUUAAUACUUUUCAACUCAUAUUAAUUUAUUUUCUUGCCUUAAUUUACUGAAAUUGCUACCUUACUGUUCUUUCUUUUAUUAUAGUUAUCAUUGGGUGCUGGUCAUCUUUGAUGUGUUGAAAAAAGAAGUUUAUUAUCUCGAUUCUUAUGGGGAGAUCCUGAUGAUGAUUUAAAAGAGCUCAUUAAAGUGUAUGUUCAAUUUUUUUUAUUACCAUUGUCAAUAUAAAAUUACUUUUACAUAAUUUACAGAUACUUUGUUACAAUUUUUUUUUUGUAUACAGCUCUAUGACAAUGUUUAUAGCACAAGAGGGUAAGGAGAAAUGGAAUUAUAAUAAGAUGGUCAGAUCCGUAAAGGUUUGAACUAUUACCUUAACUAUAAUUAUAUAUUACCAUGCUUAAUUGUUAUUAAAAUGAACUGUACAAUUGCUGAUUGUGAACAGGUCCCACAGCAACCAGCAAGUUCAGUCGUGUGUGGAUUUUACGUCAUGAGAUUCAUGAAAGACUUAAUUAAUGACUGCUCUUUACUAAUGAACAAUGUGAGUUCCUUGAUCAUAAUUUGCUUCAUGAAAAAGAACAUGUCCUGUUUCAAAGUUUCACUAAAUAUUUAUUUUUCAUAAAUAGUUCAACGGAAAGACAACAUAUUCUGAUGCUGAAUUAGAUGAAGUCCGUAUUGAGUGGGCAAACCAUUUUUCUGGAGUACUUGCUGUUAUGUGAGGUAACCCUUACCUAUUAUGUUGUUAUUGUGAGUUCAUUGAUGAAAUAUAUUUUACUUGGGCAGUUAUCUAGCUUAUUAUACUUCUAUGUUGGAUUAUGAUGAAGAUGGUGGGUACUGCUGGAGUUCGCUAGUUUUUUUCUUUGUUUGGAAAAUAGCUCCUGGAUAUUGAUGCAAUUUUACACAUUUCGGUUGUUCUUAGGUUGGAUUUUCACGUUUGGGAACUGCUGGCCUUGUCUGAUCAGUAUUUUUGGCUCCUCUUAUGUUGCUGGAAGUGUUGCUGGAAAUGUUGCUGGAAAUGAACUAUGUUGUUGCCUUUGUUCAUGUUGGUAGAAAUGACUCUGUUGUUUGGCUUCCUUAUGCUACUGGAAUUGAACUGAUCAUUGUUAAUUUGUGUUGUACAUGCUGCUGGAAUUUAGUUCUUAGGUUGUUACAAUACUCUUCUUCUAUUUAUGUUGGACUUGUCACUCUCGAAUUUGAUUAAAUUAUGUUUGCUCACAAUUAUGAAAUCUUAGUCAAUGUUAUCCAUUUCAUUUUCUUUGUCAGUUAAUUUUUAAUUGCAAUAUUAAUUUUAAUAAUCUAAUUAAUUAGCUAAUUUAUGAAAUAUUAAUUUCUACUAAAUCAAUUGCAGGAUUGUUAUUAAAAUGAUAAUAAUUUCAUGGUGCAAAAAAAAUACCCCUUUUUUAUUAAUUAUAAUUUCAAUUUUUGAUUUAAUUGAAAAAAUUCAUUUCAUUAUAAUUUGCAUUUCGCGCCAAAUUUGAUUUUCCCGCCAAAAUUCAUAAUAUGGCGCACAAAUUUAAAAAAAAGGGGCCAAAUUCAAAUUUAUUAUAUUCCUCUCUAAAUAAAGUUAUGACAGUUAUGUGACUAAAAAUAUUUAUCACAGAUUAUGACUGGUAUUAUUCUGUCAUCAAUUCUUGACGGUGGCUACAAUGACGGUAUGAACAACCGUCAUCCACCCCCUACUAUGACAGAUUUUGCCUGUCAUGGUAGGCACUUUUUCUUGUAGUGUGAGCUAAAAUAACUAGUGUCUUUUAUGCCUUAAAAUAUUAAAUUUGAAAAAUCAAAAAGAGUUAUUAGGAAAAUAUAAGGUGCAUUUAGUAUAGUUUUUGUUUUGUAGUUUUUCAUUUUCCUAGAAUGAAAACUAUAAAAAUUUUUUUUUAGGUCUAUUUUUUAAUAGUAAAUGUAUCAACUGAAAAAAAGUUGUUCUUGUUUCUCAACUUCACAAAAGAGAGUGCAGAACAGAAAUUGGCAUUCUCUACUAUACAAACACACACACUACUUGCCUCACUUUUGUAGCUUGGAACCAUUGCCAAUAUUUAUUAAGCUUUUAACCCUCUAUUUCUUCCUUUUUUUUUAUAAUAUCAACACAAUAUUUUACUAUUUACUCAUAAAUUUACGGUUUCUUGUCAGAUAAGAUUUAUUUUUGCUCCAACAUUUUGAAAUGUUAUAGAUAUUCUUAAAUUAUUUUUAUCUCAUUUUUUAAAAGUAAAAUUUAAAAUAGUCAAAUAAAAUUUAAAUUGUAUAAAUUAUGAUAAAAUAAAUGAACAUUUUUAGUUCAUUAAAGAUUAGACAAUUAGAAAAAUAAUUACAUUUAUCAUUAUCAAUUUAAAACAUGAUAAUUUCUAAAAUUUUAAAUAAAUAAAUAUACAUAUUUAAAAAAAUUACCUACACAUUAUUCAAAAGAAAUGUUUUGGACAAAAUACUAAAUGUAUUUACAUUUUUUUUCAUAAAUUAUAAUUUAGAAAUAAGCUACCAAAUGUAUCUUCAAAUAUCGAAACAACCCAUCAAAACCAUCAUCUUUCUUCUGCAAAACAAGUUUAGAAAACACCAAUUGAAAAACAAUACCAAAUACAACCUAAAUUUUUGGUACAAUUAUUUGAAUUUAGUUUAGAUUAUAGAACUGUAAAUAAUGAAAUAUAAAAAAAUUAUUUUAAUAUUCCAAGUAAUUUAUUUAUAAUAUUAUAAUAGAUUUAACAAAAGAUUAUUGAAAAAUAAGUGUGAUUUGAUUAUUUGAUGGUCUCACUUUAAUAAAUGAAAUCUUGGAAGUUCAAGUCCUCUUCUUAUAAUAUAUUCCAUUUUAACAGACUAAUUCAACAAAUAGUUUGUCUCGAAAAACACUAGCGGGCCAGCCGGCGGGCUUGAAACAUUAGCCCAAUAUAGCAAUCACCGUGAACUUCUAAAGCAAUAUUAUCUUGUCAUCUCUUCAAAGUUUGCUGAAUAAAAUAAAUAAGUAAAUAAAUUCAGCCCAAUAUGGCCAUCUCUUCUUGGAAUAUAUUCCAUUUAUUGACGGAAGAACUAAAUAUAUAAACAAAUACCCACAGAUUUUUUAAUUAUCAUCAAAUUAACAGGACAUCACUCAUAAGCUGACAAAUUAAGUAGAUCGAUCAAACCGCCUUGUAGUAUGAAUGAAAAUGAUUGUUCAUGAAUUAAUCAAAUGAAUUACUGCCCUCUGGUUUGUUGGAUGACAAAUUCAAUGAGCAUUUCUAUGUUGCGAUGAGAAGAUCCACCUACUCCAAUAGCACGAUUUGCUAUCUCCCCAAGCUGCCUUGCUCUCUUUCUCCUCUUCUCUCCUUGUUUGCCUCUAUCCAUCAGUUUUUCAAUAGCUUCUUUAACUUUCUCCCUCUUAAUCACUAAACCAGAGUUGUCUUCCAAACCCCAUGUCACUGCAGCCUCAAUUCCAACACUCACUCCAAUCCCUAAUACUUGCGCAGCUAACUUCUUCUUAUAAAAUUGCUCGGCAAACAAAGGGCAUGUUACUAACGGCACUCCCGCACACACUCCUUCUAGUGUUGAAUUCCAACCGCAAUGUGUCAAGAACCCUCGAAUUGCUCGAUGAGAUAAUAGCAACACUUGAGGUGCCCAUCCCCGAAUUAUAAAUCCUCUCUCUUUUGUCCUUUCCUCAAAUCCUUCUUCUUGGAUCCACUUCUCUAAACCUUGUGAUCUUUCACCUCCUCUUAUUACCCAAAUGAACGGCUGACUUGAUGCUUCUAAGCCUGACCCAAGUUCUAAAAGUUGCCAAGUAGCAAGGCCACAUAUACGCCCAAGACAAGGGUAAAUCACAGACCCAGGUUCCCAUGAGUCAAGCCAUUUCAAGCACUGUUCAUAAUCAUCUACCGUUGAUCCAUUUUCACCUCUGCAUCUCUCAGCUUUAUCUGUGUUCAACUUGUACCGGGCCAAUACACCAAACCUUAUCACCUUUGGUCCUUGUAUAUUCUUUGACAUAUUCUGUUUCCAAUUCUUCGAAAGUAUUAACCACAAUUCCAUCUGCUGAUUGUUCUGCUCCCCUGAUUGUCACACGCUUCAAUUGGAGGGUUUUUAACACAUUGUGGUUGGAACUCAUCUCUUGAAGGGAUAUCAGCCGGCGUACCCAUGAUCACAUGGCCACUUUUUGGGGACCAAUUUUGGAAUGAAAAGUUGAUUGUGCAAGUUCUAAAUAUUGGGGAGAGGAUUGGUGUGGAAGUUCCCUUAGAUUUUGGGAAGGAAGAAGAGAUUGGGGUAUUGGUAAAGAAGGAAGAUGUUGUAAAGGCUAUUAACAUACUUAUGGAUGAAGGAGGGGAAAGAAAUGACAGAAGAAAAAGAGGCAGAGAAUUCCACAUAAUGGCAAAAAGGGCAACAGAAGAAACAGGAUCUUCUUCCCUCAUGAUCAAACUAUUAAUCCAAGAUAUCAUGCAACCGCCGCAUGGUGAUGACCAACAUAUAUAACGCAUGAGAGAUUAAUUGCUUAAUUUGUUUCAUGCGUACUUGCUUCUCUUUUAUUAUUAUUUUUUUUGAGAGGUUAAUUCACUUAUCUAUUAUGGUACUAUUGUCAAAUCUGUCCUCAUCCAUUGAUCAGACAUGCAUUAUUCCCUGAUUAUCAAGGAAUCUUGGCCGAGCACCUGUUUAUAAUUUUAAUUAACUCAAACCAGUUUGUAGGGUAUCAUCAAUAAACAAAUAUAAUGAUUUACUUGCAAUUGACUGCAUUAAAAUAUAUUCUUUUAAUGUUUAUAAUUAUAAGUUGUACUAUCAAAAAGUUAUUGUUAAAUUAAUUAUAUAUAAAUUAAUUAAUAUCAGCCAAUGCAAUGUUAGAAAAGUUCUCUUAACUGCCCACUAUUUGACCGAACAUUGACCAGCCGCCAUUGCUCUAGUGGCGGCUGGUGGUGGUGAUUUGCCAAUACCGGAACCACCCCACACACCGGUGACUUCUCCUUUGGCCGGCAACAACCAUCACAACUGCACUCACACCCAAACCGAAGGCCAAAAACGUGUUCGCAAUCUCAAAUAUCGCCCAUCGCCGCCGCCACACCUGUUACCAUCGAUAAGGACCACCUUCUGCCAUUGACCAUCUCCUCAGCCCAAUCUCGUACAGCUACUGCUUUGAGAGAUAAUGCUGGAUGGGCUGAGAUAGCUAAGCCUUCUUCUUCUAUUCAGGAUGAUCUAAGUAUUCAGAGGGUUUCCACUGGUACUACUUUUUUCUGAGCUGCAGGAUAUUCGAUCCAUGACUAUGGGUUUUAAUUCCCAUUAUACAGAUAUUCAUUUUUAGUCGGAUGAGGAGCUUAGCUCUGAUGAGAAUCUUGUGGCUGAUGAUUAUUUUACGUCUUAGCCUGAGCAUUCUGGAGGGCGUGAUCUUGACCCCAACUUCAAUGUUGUUGGUCCACAUUCCUCUUGUUCGAGAAAAGAUUUCGCAUUAGUUACUGGUCACAGGUAUCGUAGGCAGUCUUGAGGCAUUUGCAUUAAUUAAUUAUCUUUAACUUCUUAUUUGUUCUCAUAAUGUUUUUGUUAUUUUUUGGAUUUGUUGGCUGUGUUGUUAUUUUGCUUGGAGCUUUUAGUUUGUGUCCUUCUCCAUAUGUACUUUCUUUUGUUUCAAUAGUUUACAGGUAAGAGGGUCCCGCCUAACCCGCCCACCUUAGGGUGGUUUUAAAUUAAAAAAGGAAAGUUAUCAUUUGUGUGAAUAUUUAGAGUCUGAAAUACUAUUUUUUCUUGUUUCAUUCAUUCUACAAGUUACACUUAAAUAGAAUGCAGAAAACAAACUCCUAAAAAAUAUCCCCUAAUUGUAGGAUACUUAUCUAAACUUGAAUUUAAAAAUAAAACUAAUUAUCUAAAACUUUAUUCUGAUAAGACUUUAAAACUAACUGAAAAAUCCUAACUUCUCGAUACUCCCUCUCAAGUUGGUGUGUAGAUGUCAAUCAUUCUCAACUUGCUGACAAGAUGUCCAAAGUUAAGUUUGACGAAUCCCUUCGUUAGGAUAUCUGCUAUUUGUUGUUUUGUUGGAACAAACAAUAGGCAGAUAAUAUGAUUCUCAAGUUUCUCGUUGAUGAAGUGACUAUGAAUUUCGACAUGCUUGGUUCUAUCAUGUUGCACUGGGUUAUGUGCAAUGCUGAUUGUUGUCUUGUUGUCGCAGUAUAACCUUAUAGGUAGAACUGUAGGUCUUUUCAAAUCCUCUAGAACUUGUUUUAGCCACAAUACUUGACAAAGCUCAUGUGCCAUAGCUCUAAAUUCAACUUCAGCAGUACUUCGUGCAACUACAUUUUGUUUUUUACUCCUCCAAGUCACUAAAUUACCCCAUACAAAAGUGCAAUAGCCUGUAGUAGACUUCUUGUCUGUAACUGAACCUGCCCAAUUAGCAUCAGUGUAUACCUCAAUACCUCUAUUCUCUGUUUUUCUAAACAAAAGUCCCUUUCCUAGAGUACCUUUUAGAUAUUUGAGAAUUUUAUAAACAGCUUCAAGAUGUUCUUCCCGAGGAUGAUGCAUGAAGCGACUUAUUAUAUUGACUGGAAAAGUGAUGUCUGGUUUAGUAAGAGACAAGUAAAUAAGUUUUCCCACCAAAUUUUGAUAUCGUCGUAGAUCUACUAGGGCUUUUUCUCCUUCACCUAGCCUUAAAUUGUACUCCACAGGUCUAUCCACUGGCUUACAGCCACUCAUUCUAGUUUCCUUCAAUAAAUCAAGGAUGUAUUUCCUUUGUGAGACAACUAUACCUUUCUUGGAAUGAGCAACUUCCAUUCCAAGAAAGUACUUCAAGGCACCAAAGUCCUUGAUUUCAAAAUCAGUGGCUAGACUUUGCUUCAAUCUAUCCAUUUUAACUAAAUCAUCUCCAGUAUGAAUAAUGUCACCCACAUACACUAUAAGCACAGUGAUUUUACAUUUAGCUGAAACUCUAGUGAACGUUGUAUGAUCAGUCUGACUUUGUCUGUAACCUUGUCUAUUCACAGCCGUAGUAAAUUUCUCAAACCAAGCCUUAGGCGAUUGUUUGAGACCAUGCAAGGACUUUUGCAAUUUGCACACAUUUGACCCAAAAUUUUCAAAGAAACCAGGAGGAGGAUCCAUGUAUACUUCCUCUUUUAAAUCCCCGUUGAGAAACACAUUUUUCACAUCCAACUAUUGUAAUGGCCAAUUUAGGUUUGUAGUGAUAGACAAGAGAACUCGUACAGUGUUUUACUUUGCUACUGGUGCAAAGGUCUCUGAAUAGUCAAUCCCAUAAGUUUGCGUAAACCCCUUUGCCACUAGGCGAGCCUUGUAUCUCUCAAGUGAACCAUCUGAAUUGUAUUUGACAGUAAAUACCCACUUGCAGCCAAUUGUCGACUUUCCUUUAAGCAAAUUGACCACCUUCCAAGUCUGAUUCUUCUCAAGAGCAUUCAUCUCUUCAAGGAUAGUUGCCUUCCAUCAGGUACACUUAGAGCAUCCUGCACAUUCUUUGGAAUUUCUACACUAGAAAGUUGUGAGGUAAAUGCAUAGAAAGAAGGUGAUAGGUUGUGAUAUGAAACAAAAUUAGACAAUGAGUAUUUGGCACAACUUCUAGUACCUUUCCUAAGAGCAUAGGCAUGUCCAGAUCACUAAGAACCUGAGAAUUUGAAUUUAACUCACUAGAAGGAUUAGAAUUUGAAUUUAACUCACAAGAAGGAUUAGAAUCAGAAUUACCUGAGGAAGAAGAAGUUUGAUCUGACCUUGGAUUGGAAGAGUAGAAGAGGAUAUAAGAGGUCUAAUUUUGUUUGUGAGAGACCAUUUCCGGGUUGGAAAACAUUCUCCAACCCAGUGGAACUCAAUGAAUUCUUGUGGUCCAAUUAGCCAUAAUGGAUUUGGCAAUGCAGGAAUCUCAUGGGGCUGGGAGAAACAAGUUUUGUAAGCAGUUAGGUAUAUAAUAUAGUUAGUAUAGGUAGUCUGGUUUAUCAUUAAGUUCAUUUAUUGCCCUGUGUCGCAAGUAUAUAAUACAGAUGAAACCAAUUUGAGGAAGUACUGGUCGUGUUUGCAUCAUGUUUAGUUUGUUUAGUAGACUCAUCCAAGGUUUUGAAAAUUGUUUGAUGUAUUGGAAGAUGGGCAUUGUUGUAGUGCUGGGUAUCUAUGUUGACUUUGUUCGCUGGCUUGGAAGUCUUGAAAGAGUUGAGAGGAUCAACCCUCAUCAAGAUGAUUGAGGUUUUCGGAUGAGUCUGGAAAGUUUGAUGUGUUACAUAAUUUUGAUCAAACAAUAAUGUGAGGUUCUCUUUCAGUAAUUCCCAUAUUCUCUUUACUGCUUAGGAGUUAUUACGUUGAUGAAGUUUAUUAGCUGUGUUGCAUGUAGGUCAGCAUACACAAAUAAUGUUGGUGCAAGAAUCAAAUAACAUUGGUAUAAAAUCAAAUAAUAUUGGGCAGCAUAGAGGUGAAAUGAAUAUCACACAGACACACAGUUUCAAAAGCGUGUGGGUUUUUUUGGUCUUUUAUCUAAAAUUGAAUACUACUUAUUAUCACCAAUUUAAAUGCAUCAGGUUAUUUUUUCUUUCCACCUUCAGAUUUAUUUUUUUUUUGACAACUUUCCACCGUGAGAUUAAUUGUGAGAAAUUUGCAUUAAUAGAGAAAGUAGAAAAGAUUUGAUUUUUAUCUGGAAAAAAAAAGAAUCAAACUGAAUGUCAUAAUUUUAUUUAUGAAAGAUAAUCUUAUCAAUUUAUAUAAUAAUUGAUACGCAUAUAAAGUUUUGUCCCUUUUUUUUUAUUAAAUAUUAUUUAAGCAAAAAAAUCAUAAACAAUUUCGUUUAAGAGGAAAAAAAACACAAAUUAUGUAGUUUUAUAUCAUCAAAUAAUGUAAUUUUUUUUUAAGUCUAGCUCAAUGGCAACUAAAUCUAUUCUCCACCCUUAUGAGCCAAGUAAACAAAAGCUCUUGUUUGUAAUUAAAUUUGUAUAUUUUUUAGGGAUUAAUUAUUUGCUUACAAAUGUUAAAAAAAAUGAAAUGCUUUAUAGGGUUAAAUACAAAGUUAAAAUUUCAAAUGACGUGUUAUUAUCAAUGACUGGCAUGUAUUAAGUAAUAUUUGACGUUUUAUACUAUUAUUAAUGAGAUAAUUUAAUAGUAUUGAUGAGAAUGAUUCCUCAGCGUUAAUGAAUAAACAAUAUAUUAAAUACCACAUGAUUCGAAAUACAAAUUAUAUUGUUAGAAAAUCUUUGUAAGCAUAUAUUACUCCUUUUUUAACAACUGAAAUUGGUUUUUUUUUUUUUUACAACAGAGAAGAAAAAUCAUCCAAAAUAAUAUACUAAAUUAGCACAAUUGGGAUAAUUAAUCAUCUCUAUGGAAUGUCUAAAAUAUACUAAAUCUUAAGUUACACACUCAUUUGACAUCAUUUUUUUUUUCUUUUUUUUUUCCCUCAAAGUCACCAUCCGAUAUUUUAAGGCAACUUUCAAUUUGGUAUAUCAAAAUUAUUUAGGGGCCAGCUUAAUAUAAAUUGACGAAUUAUGUCUUUAGUUAUGAAAGUAUUUAAGGAACUUUAACGUUGUUAUCAAUUUUCCAUCGUAUACUUUAUUGUUAAAAGAUUUCGUAUUGGAUAUACUUUAAUCCAAACAUAGCUUUCGAAACUAAACAAAUGGAGUUUACUAACUUAAUUCCCUGUUUUUCUUGAGUAUUCGUUUAAAAUGCUAAUCAAUUAUAACUGAACAAAUGGAAUAUAAUUAAUUAAUCAACUAAUUGCCACAUUAACCACUCUUUAAUUUAUAUAAUACUGUUUAAAUCUCCGAAUCUUUGACUAAAAACUAUGUUGUACAUCAUAAGUUCAAAUGUCCACCAUUACAUUAACCUUCCAACCGAUUUGAUAACUACCAUGCGCUAACAUGAUUAAUUUUCUUAUUACUAAAAUUUUUAUUAUCAUAUCUUUCUAUUUUUCGCAUUCAACGAUUGUAUGGCGUGAUGCAUGUGGAAUUCUUUUUCGUUGGGACUCAAAUCAUCCACCGUUUGAUCAUUUACCAUUUGAUGUUGGAAUGCUUGGGUGGCCAAUUUUCGUCAUCGAUUUACCGUCAAUUAAUUCGUCACAUUUUUAAAUGAUUUGCACCGACGCAAGCUGCCGAGUCCAAAUGGAUAAAAACACAAGAUCGUGUUUGGCAAUUUUUUUAAUGACACGUGGGGUCUGGGCCGUCUGGCCUGCGUGUAUAAAAUAAGAACAAACAAAAAAAUUUUAAACAAACACAAAAAAAGAAGAAAAAGAAAAGAAACUAAGUAUUGUGCCUAUUUGCAGUCUUGUUCGAGGUGGAAUAAAGCAACAUUGCAACAACAUGGCUGUUAUGGACGUAUCACUAAAGGGACAUUAAAUUAGAUUCUUGUAAAAGCUUUUGACGAACGUUUUCUAUGAAACAAUUUGAUCCCUUAUGAAUCUUAUACAAAAUAUAACUUUAAAUUAUUUAAAUGGAUGAUCAUUUUUAUUUUAAAGACCAAUCAUUUUAAAACAUUCGAUAAUAUUUUUUACCUUGUUAUUUUUAUGAGCAUAGUUUUUUUUUUUCUUUAAGAAACGAUUAUCAAUAUCCUAGUCUAUUGCUAAACUGCUUAAAGUGUAGAAACUGCUCGAGUAUCAAUUUUUUUUUUUUUUGUAAACUAAGUUUUAUCCAAGUAUAAUUUCUUUAUCGAAAUACAAUUAUAUUUGUCGGUGAAAUAAUUAUUAUUAUUUAUUUUAAUUUAAAAGAAGCAUCUAAUACAAAAAUAAUCUAUUAUCAAGUAAAGGGCAAGAAUAGUGUAGAAACCACCAAUAAAAAGCCAAUAUUUUUAGCUUACGUGGCUAGUGCACGUAAGCAAAAAGUUCCAUGAUGAAUAUUUCGUGAUUUCUAAGUUCUCGUGCCCUGCACGUCAAAUUUAUUGCCGUCACGGGCAACUAGUUUAGUGCCAUUUGGCACUUAAUUACAAGCUCGCUUCAUCCUUUAACCAUAUCGUUUGAUUGCAUGUACAAAAAAUAUUAUAAUAAACGUUUUUUUUUAUUUGCAUUAUUUUUGAAUGAAUGUAUUGAUUUCUCUCCUUUUUUUUUUGUCUGAACCACGAGGUGGUCUUGAGUGGGCCCCAACUGUGGGAGGCACCUUUAAGCCCGUAUCACAACCCAGACUAAUCCCCGCUCGCACCGGAUCGGCCCAUAAGGGAUAAAGUGCUGGUCAAAGUGGUGACUCCAUACGAGAGCGGGGCUUGAAUCCUUGACCUCUCUUAAGGAGUGAGAGUGCCGAACUACUCACACCAACCAACUUUGGUUAUUGAUUUCUCUCCUUUAUUAAAGGCUUUGUCUUAGAAUAUAAAAUACGCGGGAGGUUGCCAUCUUGCUUUAAUUAUAUGGUCAAGACUUGAGGGUGCACGAUGGACCUACCCGAUCAAUCAAUCGAUCAAUCUCAAUGGCGUUAAGACCACAUAUUUUACACGUGACAGAGUGAGUGUUCACACACUUCUCUUUAGGCAUUUUCUCUCGAAAUAGCCCAAUCCAAAUCUACGAAUCAAGCACCAGGACAUAAGCAGAGAGCUCUAGGGCCAAGACCUCAGAGGGGUUGGCAAAAGUCGAAAAGUAGACGGAAUAUGUGUAUCUAGUAGUAUGAAGCAUAUGAUAUAGUAGUAGUAAUUGACAAGAAUAUUAACUACCAUUAGCUCCCUAUCAGGAUCUAUAUGAGGUAAUCUAUAAACAUACACACAGAAAAGCCGAUAAUGCAAUACUGCAACUUUUCUCAUUGCUUUGUUAAGUAUCAGAAAGAAGGAUAGCCGGCUGCAGCCUUAAACCCCUCAGGCCGUGGUGAGAAAAAUUCCUUCCCCGGUCUUUAACAGUAGAUGAAUGAGACCUGUUUAUGGUAUGAUAAUGAGUCAAUGUUAUGGAAGAGGCACGAGUCUGAACUGCAAUCACCAGUGUUGGUUCCCAUGUUCAGAGCCCAGAAUUUAUGAUCAAACUUUAUUGCUUCAUAUCUUCCAUAUCUUCAGCAGAGGCAGGAUUUUCAACCUCACUCCCGCCACUUAAGUCAUCGUCGUUGCCUAAAGGUGAAAACUUGUCACUCGUGGUGUUCUUAUGAAAAUGACACUUAAACGGCAGAGCCAACCAUGCUUGAUGAAUGAAAAACGGCAGAGCACUUUCAAUAAAUGAAAAACAUUUAUUUGAGGAAAAAUAAUUCAAUUGUGUGAGAGAGACCAGUUACGUAGGCAGUUGCCCACCGAGACUGUUAGUUGUGAUUGGGAAGGAGAGCCAACCAUGCUUCCUCCUCCCAUCCAAUCCAAUAAAUAAGAUAUCGUUGGUCAUGUUUGAAAUUUGACACUAGAGUUGUCAACUACGUCUUCACUUUACUUGAGCUUUCGAACUUAAUGCCGCGUGGACAUGAAUAAUAAUAAUAAUAAUAAUAAUAAUAAUGAGGAGUCUACUUCGUGGUUAUUAGAGUUAUGCCUUUGCUUCUCCUGCACCUGAGGGAUAUGGGACUAACUAUGAACACCUGGAUGGAGCAUAGGUAGGUAUGUGCAAAAUCCUGGAAUAUCACUUCUAGGAAGACGUCCAAAUCUUGAUCACUUGUUGGAACAGGUAGGGAUGCAAAUGGCUUUUCAAAUUGUCAUUUUUGUUAAUGUAGGUCCUAGAUUCAUGGUUUUCUUAAGAUUUUAUAUCAUCUUAGCUUUAUGCAUUUAAUGACCAUUUAAUGAGGAAUAAGGUUUAUUAUAUCCCCUAAUUAAUUGUGUUAAGAUUAUUAUUUAUAAAGUUGACAUCUUACGGCAAGUUUAGUAAAUUGAAAUUUUAUUUACUGAAUAUCAUGUAAUAGGGUUUAAUUUAUUAAAUUCCUAGCUAAUUUAGUGAAAUUUCUAUUUAUGCAGAAUAUUGUUUGCUAAUUUAAUUAGAUGUCUAAUUUAACAAGUCAAUUAGUGACAGGAUUUUAUAAUUGGUGCAUAGGAUUUAUUUAGAGGAAGAAAUUGGUUUAAACAGAAAGUUCAUUAAAUACUCUAGAUAUUUCUUAGGAGACAAGCAAGGCAAACAUAUCAUAUUUAUUUCUAUUUAGAUUUAUAGAAAUUAUAAGAGGAAAUAAAUUCUUAUUUGGAAAGAAACCUAAUCUUUUAACUACAGUUUUAAUAAAUUUUUUCACGAAAUUUUUUCACAUCAGCUUCAUACUCAUCAAACAAUAUAUCAUAUUUAAGCCAAGAUUUAUCCACUUUUUGUUUAGUACCUGACAUAUAAUUGAAACAAAUUUCAACAUAAUGUACUAAUAGGCAGCAAUGAUAAACGGUUUCCAUUAUCAAUAAAUUAAGAAACAAAACAUUAUUAAUAUUCAGCUUAUAAAUUUAAUGAAAUAAUUAAAUUUAAAACAAAAACUUGUCAUCAUGUGCAACAAAUAUAACUUCACCAACGUGCUAUCAUCAUUUACCAAAACCUCUAACUAACAAUACCCACUAAUAAUAUCCUAAAUAAUUUAGCCCACAUACAAUUAACAUUUAUUUAAAAAAAAAUUCUAACAAUCUAGCAUUUCAUAGACCACAAGACUAUAUAUAUAUAUAUAUAAGCAACUAAACAUUCCUUGGUCCACAUGACCGAACUUGCCCCCACAAGGUACCAUUUCUUUCAAACAUAAAAAAACAAUUGAAAAAGGGGCCUCACUUUUUAACUCAAUAAAAUACACUUGAAAGUAUUAUCACUUACCAAAUCUAACUCACAAUCAUUCAAAAAAUGUCAACACCAUUGGACCUUAGUUUUGGAUCCAUCCCAAUAAAACACACUAGUCAAUGACAAGUGCUAUAUCAUCAAGCAAAAUCAGCUCACACACAUGCAAGCUUUGACUGAAAAAUUACAAAAUAUAACAACAUUCAGAUAAACCAUUGCCAACAAGCAUUUUUUAAACAUUGAAUGGAAAGGCAAGUAAAGAAUUGAACAAACCUGAUGUCAAAAAUCGAAUUCGAAAGGGAACAAAGCAGUGAAAUCCAGCAAUUCAGAAUUAAAUGAUUUAGCAAUUUCUAGAUUUAAUAAAAGGAUAAAGUAUAAGCUUCUUGAAUUAAAAAAAUAAAAAAAAUAACAAAAGAAACAAACAAGACUUUUUUUAAAAAAUAAUAAAUAUAAACCAUUCAUGAUAGAAAUCCCAAAAAAAAGGCAUAAAUUAUGAACAAAUAAGGGAGAUAACAACAAAACUGACAAUUAAUUUUAUAAUGCCCAACUAGUUUAUUCAAAAUAAAAAAUAAAAAAUAAAAAAGCUAAUUGACAAUAAGCCUAGGGAUUCAGCAAUUACAAGGAUGGCUUCUCCAUCGCCAAUUAAACAAUGCAAAGAAAUAGUGACAACGACCGCUUCAACAGUGGACGUGUUGAUCGAAGGAGCAACAAUGAGCAUAUAUGAUGAUUUUGUGCCUAAACAAUUAUAAUAAAGUGGUUGCUUCAAUAGCAUAUACGAUGAUUUUGGUUUCCAUGCAAUAGAUUUCAAAACCAAUUUGUAGAUUAAAGUAGGGCUUGUUAAUUCUGGAUUUUGAGGGGUUUCAAUGCUUAGGUUUCUUAGCCCUUGCCGAUGGAGUGAUGAAGUCAAAGGAGCUGAAGUGUUUAUUAACACUUAGAAUCACUACCACAAAGUUGGUCUUUUAUGACUGUUUUAAAUGACAUAAGAUGACGGUUUUAAAACCGUCAUCGUCAUCUUAGGCACUGACAUUAAAGAGGGUAUGUUUUUUAUUACGGUUCACUAACCAUCAUUAAAUGUAUAUUUUUAAUAACAAUUAUUUUUUAAAAUAGUCAUUAUUUAUAGUAAUUAUAUAUGUUUUGAUGACUGUUCUUUCAUAUAACUGUCAUUAAAUGUGCCAUUUUAAUGACGGUUUAUUAUAAGAACCAUCAUUAUAUAUAUGUUUUUAAUGACGGUUUAUUGUAAGAACUGUCAUUAUAUAUAUAUAUCUUUAAUGAUGGUUUAUUAUAAGAACCGUCAUUAAUUAUUGAACAACAUUUUAUGACGGUUUUAAAAAAAAAAACCAUCACCGUCAUGUUUGUUUCUGAACACUACAUUUGAUGACGGUUCUUUUGAAAUAACCGUCAUCUUUGUUAUAUAUUAUUAAAAAAUAUAUAUGACAAAUUUCAUACUAUUUCAAGCCCCAUUUUAAUUCUAAUUUCAUAUUAAAUUCUUUACAAUUAUUUUUCCAGAAACAAAAGGAUGCAAAUGUUUCAUAUACAAAGAGAUAGCUUUACAAAAAUUCUCACAACUAUUUAAUAUCUACUAAUGACUGCACUAGCAACCAACAAGAUUGGCAUGCGUGAGACAUCUAAUUUCUCAUCAAGUCUUCAAUUGCAAACAAGUCUCACCAGCGUCAGCAAUCUACGUCACUCUUACAAAGGAUAAAGAGAAAUUAAGAUAUAUUCAUAUAUUAUAAAUCAUAAAUAUUAAAUCAUUUUAGUGACUUAAGUUGUAAAACAAGACUUUAAAGUACCAAAUCGCUAUUAAUUAAUAGACUUACCUAAGUAAGUUUAUCAACCAUGUGUUUAGAUAAUAAAUGACAACAAUAUUUGCCAAAAUAGAGACAAUAAAAAAACAUUAACUACAUCAUCCAUAAGACAUCCAGUACCUAUCCGUUAUACACUUGGAAAUAAAAAAAAUGAGACCUAAUGUUUAGAAUACUAUGAUUAACCAAAGAAUUAAUAGCAUCCUUGGAUAUUACCUAGCAAAAGUUGUACCUGCUUAUUACCGGGGGGGAAAAAGAUUAAGUAUAGACAUAAGAGAAAGAACUAAAGAAGGUCCAAAACAACAACUAAACAACACCCAAAAAUAUUCAGCUGCACUAUUAGUAGCAAAAUUUCAGCGAAAUAGCACCGAAAAUUUCUAAGUGCAAUUUUAAUUACAAAACAGCAGUAAAGCACCCCUUGGAUGCUUCCAGGUGCUUUGUUUCUGCAUAAACAACAGUAAAAACAGCACUUGGAAGUUUUCAGGUGCUGUUUUUACUGCAUACCAGCAGCUAAACAACACCUGAACACUUCUAGGUGCUGCGUUUCUGCAUGAACAGAAGUAAAAGUAGCACCUGGAAACUUUCAAGUGCUGCUUUUGCUGCAUAACAGCAGCUAAACAGCACCUGGAUGCUUCCAGGUGCUGUGUUUCUGCAUAAACAGCAAUAAAACAGCCUCUUCUGUUGUUGCACAAAAGCAAAAUACUGCAACUUGAACUAAAAAGACAUAAGUGAGGAAGGGUUAAGCAAACAAAAGUAAAUCCAUCUACAUAAGUGCACAAACAAAAUGAACAAAUCACUUCCAAAAGCUUCAAUAAUUUUUUUAUUUUAAAUAGAGGAAGGGUUAAGUGCAUAAAGACAAUUUCUUUGCUUUACUUUCUUGAACUAGUGAAAUCAACCCAUUGAUAAAAUUUCUGCUCUACUUAUUCAGCACUAUAGACAUAUAUAAUUGAAUUAAUAUUAAUU